rnacentral:lncRNA from 1 species
AGAAAUCAGAAGCGGCGCGGAGUGUACUGUUCAUCGUCUUCCUCGCCACAACUCACCAUCACUCACCCGAGUUGACUCAAAAUGGUCCCCCUCCAUGUCAUUUGAUUCCUAACAGUUUUUGUUAGAGAAGAGUACGAUUAUUCCCUCAAAAUCGCGGAUUUUUGUACAAAAGGAUAAUUGUUGGACGAAUGGAAGCCGUGGAUAGAUGUGAAUCAAUCCUAGCCCUCCAUUUGUCCCAAAAUUGUUCAAAACUUGAGAGAUUUUUCGGAGUUUUGGCAGAUUUUGGAGAAUUUUCGAGGGCUCUAUAUAUAUGAGGUAAGUCUUCUAUGCUAAGGGAGAAUUAGAGAGAGAAAAAAAUUAGAGGAAAAAGCGAAGAAAUCUUCAACAGCUUAGCCUAAAAACUUCUAGGGAUUUGUAGUCGUCACUUUUCUUUAAGCUCUCAUCUUCUUCCGUCUGCUUCUUUCAUUUUCAGAAAACAUAUAUAAAAAAAUAGUUUGUUUUCUCAAGAGAACUUGAUUUAAAAAUUCAAGUUGUGGUCGAGUUUGUUUUUUUUUGGAGCUCAAAUUUCGGCAAUGUUUCAGUCAAGCUGGUUGAUUCCUGUGUUCUUGCUGUUGUUCGUUUCAAGCUUUGAGUCGUCGUUUUACUCGAGUUGGUUUAAAUUGUUGUAAUCGUUGAAGUUUCAUUAAUUGAAAGCUCCAAUUCCAGGUUCAUAUUUCUUCCUUUUGCUAUGUUUUUCUUUCUUUUCUCAGUGUUACUGUCGUAUGGGUGUGAUUAAAGUUUGGUGAUGCCGUACUCUCUCUUUAGUUGCUGUGAUUAUAAUGUAUGAGAAGCUCAUUGACACAGAUGCAUAUGCUAAGCUUUCUUCGUAGAAUUGUGUGGAUAUGCUCUUAUCAGUAUGUUUAGUUCAUUUCUUAGCCUUUUGUUUGCGACUUGAUGUCGUUGCUAGGGUAACAGUAUCGUGUGGGAAUUGUUGAAGUUUGGUUAAAAAAUGUCUUUGCGUUUUCUCUUGAUUUCUUCAAUCAAAAAAACCUGAAAUCCUCAUUCAGAGAAUGUCAUUCCUUUGUUGGUAUAAACCUGAAGCAAGAUUUUAGAACCUCGUGUGCUAAUCUGCAUUUUGCCAUCUGUUAAAGUGUAACAUGUUAGUUUCGAGUCAGCUGUGUUUUUACGGCAAUGGAGUUUCCAGUUCCUGCAAUGCUGCUCGUUGAUUUAGCCUCUGAUUUGUCAAAAAUAUUGAAUUCUGUUCGUUUGAGUGUGACUCCUUCAAUGUGAGCAGCUUCAUUGUGUUAGUUGUAUUCCUAUUUUUGGUAAAUCUCAGCCAGUGUAGUUUUGAGCUUUGUUUUCUAAUAGUACUCAUAACCAGUGCCGUUUUGAUCAUUAUGUUGUGGUUCUGGUUUUGUUUGCAGUCAAUUAGUUACUCUUCCAUGUCCCUUGUUUUGUCAACAAUGAUUUUCUUUAAAGUAACAGAUGUAGACAUCUUAUAUCGGCUUGCAUAUUGGCUUGGACUCUUUUGGUUGCUGCUGUUUAGUGUAGUACAUUUUUGUGCUUUGCUUAUUAACAUCCUAAUAUCUCAUUAAGAUGAUGUAUUUUGUAUUUUCCCUUUAACUGAUUUAAUGACUGAAUUUGUCUGAGUCACCGCUGCAUUUAGAUCAUUUCAGUAACAUUAUUUCUUUUGAAAUCAUGGUUGGGCAGAAUAAUCUUCCAAAGUUUGUUUAUUGAUGUAAGAUUUCGAGUGCGGCUGUUUGAUAUAACAAAUCAGUUCUUUUACAUUCAUGAAUUGAGGCUAGAAGUUGUACACUGUUUUCCAAUUUCAUGUCAUUAUAUGCAAAUCUACUCUUUAGCUAUUGAUUCAUGUUGAUGCCAAAUAAUUAAGAAGGAAGUUGACUGAUUCGCGCCAAGGUCAUUCCUGCGGCCUUGUAUUCAGAAAUUGGUCAAUUUACCAAAAUUGGACGUAUGAGUAUAAAGUUCUAAAUGUCUUGCUGCAUUUUUGUUGAUCGCAUGGAGUUAUUCCAUGGCUAAAACAUGAAUUUGCUGUAUUGAGUGUUGUUUAUAGUUGUAAAGAUAUAUUAAAGAGAUAACCAUGCAGUUUAUUCACCAAUAAUUUGUUUUCCACAAUCUACGACCUUGUAGUAAUCUUAAGCAAGCUUAGGAAAUAAUCACUCAUGAACACCGUAGUUUGCUUUAUGCUCGAUUUAGACUAGUGUUAUGAUUGUGUAUACGUUCGCGUAACAUAAUUACAAAUUUAAUUCUAAAAAUGACUCGAGGGAUGCGUUCGCGCAACUUCAACCAAACUUUUCUUAAUAAAAUAAAUAAAGCGUUAUUAAUGGUGGACACAUUUGCGUGACAUGAUUUUUGACGCGCUAAAAAAAAGAGUAUACGUACGCGUAACUCAAUUCUUUAAUUACGAAUAAAUCAAGUGAUUAAAAGCGGUUAAACAAGUAAAUUCACAUAGGUCCUAAAAAUGAGUAAUUGAACAAUUAAGCCAAGUAUAAAUUGCUAAGCAACCGUGCUAGAACCAAGGAACCCGGGAAUGCCUAACACCUUCUCCCGAGUUAACAGAAUUCCUUAUCUAGAAUUUCUGGUUCGCAGACUUCAAAAGGAAAGUCGAAAUUUCCUUGAUUUGAGAUUUAAAAUAAACCGGUGAUUUGGGAUUUAAAAUAAAUCGGUGAUUUGGGACACCAAUUAAAAUAUUCCAAGUGGCGACUCUAUUUAAUUAAAUUAAUCCCAUUUCGAAUAAUGUCACUUAAAUUGGAAAAACUCUCUUAUAUCCCUCUCGGGUUGUAAAAAAGGAGGUGUGGCAGCUCUGGCGACUCUGUUGGGGAUCGAGACCUCAGAACUUCCGGUUCAGGGUUCAAGAAUUCAAGCUUGUUAAUGCGAUUUUUAUUUGGCUUUAUUGUUGAUAUUACUGUAUUUUCUGGACUUAAUGUGCUAAUUGUCAUUUACCGCUUUGAUAUUACUUGAACUGUAUUUAAAUGUCUUCUUAUGCCACCCAUCUGAGUCUUCUGAAAAUGGUGCACACGUUCGCGUGACCCGCUUUUUCUAUAGAAAUUAUACCAGGCCGGGUAGACUUCCGUGCUCCCGGUACGUUGCCCUCUCCUCGACCCCAGUUGUCCGCUUGGGUAACCCAAGCCUAGACCACAAACCCNNNNNNNNNNNNNNNNNNNNNNNNNNNNNNNNNNNNNNNNNNNNNNNNNNNNNNNNNNNNNNNNNNNNNNNNNNNNNNNNNNNNNNNNNNNNNNNNNNNNNNNNNNNNNNNNNNNNNNNNNNNNNNNNNNNNNNNNNNNNNNNNNNNNNNNNNNNNNNNNNNNNNNNNNNNNNNNNNNNNNNNNNNNNNNNNNNNNNNNNNNNNNNNNNNNNNNNNNNNNNNNNNNNNNNNNNNNNNNNNNNNNNNNNNNNNNNNNNNNNNNNNNNNNNNNNNNNNNNNNNNNNNNNNNNNNNNNNNNNNNNNNNNNNNNNNNNNNNNNNNNNNNNNNNNNNNNNNNNNNNNNNNNNNNNNNNNNNNNNNNNNNNNNNNNNNNNNNNNNNNNNNNNNNNNNNNNNNNNNNNNNNNNNNNNNNNNNNNNNNNNNNNNNNNNNNNNNNNNNNNNNNNNNNNNNNNNNNNNNNNNNNNNNNNNNNNNNNNNNNNNNNNNNNNNNNNNNNNNNNNNNNNNNNNNNNNNNNNNNNNNNNNNNNNNNNNNNNNNNNNNNNNNNNNNNNNNNNNNNNNNNNNNNNNNNNNNNNNNNNNNNNNNNNNNNNNNNNNNNNNNNNNNNNNNNNNNNNNNNNNNNNNNNNNNNNNNNNNNNNNNNNNNNNNNNNNNNNNNNNNNNNNNNNNNNNNNNNNNNNNNNNNNNNNNNNNNNNNNNNNNNNNNNNNNNNNNNNNNNNNNNNNNNNNNNNNNNNNNNNNNNNNNNNNNNNNNNNNNNNNNNNNNNNNNNNNNNNNNNNNNNNNNNNNNNNNNNNNNNNNNNNNNNNNNNNNNNNNNNNNNNNNNNNNNNNNNNNNNNNNNNNNNNNNNNNNNNNNNNNNNNNNNNNNNNNNNNNNNNNNNNNNNNNNNNNNNNNNNNNNNNNNNNNNNNNNNNNNNNNNNNNNNNNNNNNNNNNNNNNNNNNNNNNNNNNNNNNNNNNNNNNNNNNNNNNNNNNNNNNNNNNNNNNNNNNNNNNNNNNNNNNNNNNNNNNNNNNNNNNNNNNNNNNNNNNNNNNNNNNNNNNNNNNNNNNNNNNNNNNNNNNNNNNNNNNNNNNNNNNNNNNNNNNNNNNNNNNNNNNNNNNNNNNNNNNNNNNNNNNNNNNNNNNNNNNNNNNNNNNNNNNNNNNNNNNNNNNNNNNNNNNNNNNNNNNNNNNNNNNNNNNNNNNNNNNNNNNNNNNNNNNNNNNNNNNNNNNNNNNNNNNNNNNNNNNNNNNNNNNNNNNNNNNNNNNNNNNNNNNNNNNNNNNNNNNNNNNNNNNNNNNNNNNNNNNNNNNNNNNNNNNNNNNNNNNNNNNNNNNNNNNNNNNNNNNNNNNNNNNNNNNNNNNNNNNNNNNNNNNNNNNNNNNNNNNNNNNNNNNNNNNNNNNNNNNNNNNNNNNNNNNNNNNNNNNNNNNNNNNNNNNNNNNNNNNNNNNNNNNNNNNNNNNNNNNNNNNNNNNNNNNNNNNNNNNNNNNNNNNNNNNNNNNNNNNNNNNNNNNNNNNNNNNNNNNNNNNNNNNNNNNNNNNNNNNNNNNNNNNNNNNNNNNNNNNNNNNNNNNNNNNNNNNNNNNNNNNNNNNNNNNNNNNNNNNNNNNNNNNNNNNNNNNNNNNNNNNNNNNNNNNNNNNNNNNNNNNNNNNNNNNNNNNNNNNNNNNNNNNNNNNNNNNNNNNNNNNNNNNNNNNNNNNNNNNNNNNNNNNNNNNNNNNNNNNNNNNNNNNNNNNNNNNNNNNNNNNNNNNNNNNNNNNNNNNNNNNNNNNNNNNNNNNNNNNNNNNNNNNNNNNNNNNNNNNNNNNNNNNNNNNNNNNNNNNNNNNNNNNNNNNNNNNNNNNNNNNNNNNNNNNNNNNNNNNNNNNNNNNNNNNNNNNNNNNNNNNNNNNNNNNNNNNNNNNNNNNNNNNNNNNNNNNNNNNNNNNNNNNNNNNNNNNNNNNNNNNNNNNNNNNNNNNNNNNNNNNNNNNNNNNNNNNNNNNNNNNNNNNNNNNNNNNNNNNNNNNNNNNNNNNNNNNNNNNNNNNNNNNNNNNNNNNNNNNNNNNNNNNNNNNNNNNNNNNNNNNNNNNNNNNNNNNNNNNNNNNNNNNNNNNNNNNNNNNNNNNNNNNNNNNNNNNNNNNNNNNNNNNNNNNNNNNNNNNNNNNNNNNNNNNNNNNNNNNNNNNNNNNNNNNNNNNNNNNNNNNNNNNNNNNNNNNNNNNNNNNNNNNNNNNNNNNNNNNNNNNNNNNGAAGUAUACAACCAUAUGCACCACAAAGAGUUCUAAGACAACUGGGAAGAUAUCAGGUGAUACCCGAAGAGGCAGAUCUAAGCACCAAAGUCAUUGAAUUACGCCCAGAAACAACGAUACCCGAGGCUUUAGUUCAAAGGGACUGGAAUUGUUGUCGGUAUCUAAAAAGUGAUACCCAGGUACCAGACCCGGUUAAGGGCGAAAUUGAUCCCAAUUAUGCUGAUUGGUUUAAAGGAGCUUCUAUGCGAACAAUGGGCCGGAGCCCGAGCCCGAACCCGAGAGGCCUUCCAAAAGGCCCCAUGUUCAAGCCUUUGAUGACAAAAUUCAGGAAAGGUUAGCCUGGGCGGAAAAAGAAAAGAAAUAUCGAGCCACCAUUCACGCUUUGCGAGAAGAGUUGAGAAAUGUCACCUUCAACAAUGAUUUACAGGCACAAGAGGCUGAGGGUGAGAGGAAAAGAUUGGUUCAAGAAAAUAAAGCUCUCAGAGCCCAGGUUCGACAGUUGAGAAUAGCAGCCGAGAAUCCGGGCAGAAGCAGGAAAGAUGAAAGGCUCAUUUACAACCUUACCCAAAAGGUGAGUGACUAUGAAGAUGACCUGCAGAAAGCUGAGUCUAAGCUAGAAAAAGUACGAACAAGGUUGACUAAAAAUGCCGAUAGGCAUGCAACUUUCGUUCAACAGAUGAAAGAAAGAUAUGAAAGAGGGGUCACAGUUUGGGAAAAGGAGAUUAGCAACCUCGAAAGUAAAAUGGCUAAACAAGCAAAAAAUUUUAAAGCCGAGAGAGAACAUUGUUACGCCUUGAUGGCACGGUUGGAAGGGAACCUACAGCACUUGCGAGAGAAGAAUCACACUGCCACCCAGGUCUUAGAGGCUAGAUCCCAGCAGAUCAGGCGUUUGUUGCAAUAAAAGGGCAUCAUAAGAGAAAGGGUCAGAAGGAUUGCUGACUACACCACAAUGAAAUGCAGUGCGUGUGAGGACAUGACCAGAUCCAUGUUCUUCGCCACUGUAAUGAUCUUUGUCCGCCAGAUAAUGGAGGAUCUCUAUCGGCUCCAAGAUAACAUGGCACGUAGGCCCGCUGCAAGACCAGUUAGUGUUCCUAGGACAGGGUUGGAGGCACUAAUGUUUUUUUGAUUGUAUUUUUUUUUCUCGAGUCUGUAUUUUUAUUUUAAAAGCAUGUUUCGAGUCUGUUUAAAUUCCUAGAAAAAGUAUGUCCUGAGUCUGUUUGAAGUCUUAAAAUCCUAGAAAAAGUAUGUUUCGAGUCUUUUGUAAUUCAGUAAGGUUGUAUUAAUGAAAAUUUGAAAAAAAAAACAACAAAAAUUGUUCUUUUAUUUUUCGCAUUUACCUCUUGAACUAUGUGAUGAUCUGAUUCACGCGGCGUCGUGAUACGUAGGCAAUCCUCAUCGGAUUCGGUCAUGUUUUCGUAAAUAACUCAAAUAAGAGAGGGAUGUGAAAAGAAGGAACCGGUAGAAAAGCCCAAAAAGAAAGAAAAGAGAGCCAAAUAAAAAAUCAAAAGAAAAAAAAAAAGAGACCAAGGAAAAGAGAGGAAAGAAAAGAGCGGAAAAGAAAAUAGAAGCGCAAAAAGCCAAAAUGAAAAAAAAACUAGGGGAAAGUAAGCAAAACCGGGAUGAAACAUGCAACCGUUGCGAAACAUGUGGAAACAUAUUUAACUGUAUAGGUGCAUCACAUCCCAACGUGUGAUUACCUAUAUGUUAUUUGCUUCAAACUGACCGGUUUGUUGUCUACUAUUAAGUCCAGGUUCUAUAGUAAGGGGUUGGUUGUGUGGUAGUCUAGCUUCACAUCCAUACUUCACGAGAUCGAAAGGAAGCGUUGAAAUGUCGUCGGAAAUUCCUCUGCCAACAAUUCCUAUUGCAGAUGAUAGUCCGAUCUGGGGCAUUCCAACUUCAGAAAUCGGCAGUUGCCGAGGAAAAUAGAAUUCUGUGUCUCCGUGUAAUAGAAAUGUGGGAUGCCUGGGCCAAUGGAAGAGAACCGCCAAGUGUCAUCCCUGGGUUUCCUGAGCUUUUUCCUAGGGCAAGUGGGACCUCCAACGUCCCGACCAGUCACCCCAAUACCCCACUGGGAUAUCCUACCAUCUCGGCCCACUUUGUUGGACACCUUCUGAGGCUCGCCCCCAGGUGUUGAUGUCAGGUGCAACCUCAAAUAUAUUCACUGCGCCACCUUGCUCAGCUACGACACAACCUACACUGCCCAGGCCUAGCUUUGACCCAUCAUCCUUCACCUUCCAAACACCAUCCUUCCCACCAGAACCUACUCAAUUUACUACCGUUGCUUACCCACAACCGCCCCGGUAUGAGGUCACCACAGGGCAAGAGAAAACCGCAAAAACCCUUGAGCAAGAGGAGAUUGCUAGAAAGAUGAGAAGUAUGGAGCAGAGUCUCAAAAACAUACAGGGUCGAGUGGACAGAAAAGUGUAUCCUAUGCCGACUUGUUUAUGUUCCCUCACGUGCAUCUACCACUGGGAUUUAAAACCCCGAAGUUUGAGAAAUAUGACGGGCACAGGGAUCCCAUCGCCCACCUCAAAAGAUAUUGCAACCAGUUGCGGGAAGCGGCGGAAAAGAAGAGCUCCUCAUGGCCUACUUUGGAGAGAGUUUGGUCGGCAUUGCUUUCGAAUGGUAUAUGGACCAAGAUAUAUCCCGUUGGCAUAUCUGGAAUGACCUGGCUCAGGAUUUUGUCAGGCAGUUUUAGUACAAUAUCGACAUUUCCCCUGACAGGAACUCAUUGAAAAAUCUAAAGAAGAAAUCCUCGGAAAGCUUAUGAGAAUAUGCUAUCAAGUGGCGUGAGCAAGCCUCCAAGGUGAAGCCUCCCAUGGACGAAAUUGAAAUGGUCACGGUCUUCCUUCAGGCCCAAGAGGCUGAUUAUUUUCAAAACAUGAUGUCUGCGAUGGGUAAGCCGUUUGCUGAAGCCAUCAAAAUAGGUGAAAUGGUUGAAAAUGGGUUGAAAACAGGGCAAAUCUUAAGCCAAUCUGCUAUAAGGGCGACCUCCUAAGCAAUCCAAGGCAGGUCUGGAGGUGUGGCCAACCGAAAGAAGAAAGAAGAAGCAGCAAUGGCCACUUCAAAUACAAGAAGAUCCCGUCCACCCAGACCUCUUUUCUCUGAAAGAAUCCUACAAUAUUACUACCCCCACCAGGAUGAGGCCUACGAUAUGGCUCCUAAAGCAUACGCAGUGAUGAAUGCCUAACCCUACGUCAGGCCACAACAACAAUUUAAUCAAAACAGAGCUCCAUUUCCCAGAAAUCAACCUCCUUACCAAGCUCACUACACCCCCAGCCUCCACAAAACAACUUCCACGCCCGUGAACCACCCAAGAGGCCAAACUUCACACCCAUCGGUGAAUCCUAUUCCAGCCUAUUCCCCAAACUUGUUCAGAUGGGUUUGUUGCAGCCUGUUCCCCAAACCAGGCAGAAUCCAACAUCACCCGCUUACAAAGUUGGUACUCGAUGCGCCUACCAUUCAGGGGCAAAAAGGCAUGAUACAGAUGACUGUUGGACCCUGAAGAGGGCUAUGGAGAACCUGAUAGAACAAAAGAGAAUCGUGCUAAAGGACGAGGACAUUCCUAAUGUAACCAACAAUCCAUUACCGGCUCACAACAAUGGGCCGAUUAUUGGGAUGAUUUGUGAAGAUAAAGAGUUUGAUCCAGCUCUAAAAGCCAUCAUUGCUAUAGUUGAUGUGGAAAAAAAGCCAAGGGCUGUCACAAAACAAGACAAGGGAGAGAAGAAAAGCAAAACCACCCCUCAGAAGACGGAAAAGAAAGUGGAAGUUGAAACUAGGGCAGCACCCUCCAAAGAUGUCGUUCUUUAUAUUCCUCGAGGCCGCAAGAAAGAACAGAUGUCACUGAGUCCUCUUAGGAGGUUUGAGCUAAACAAGAGAGCUCAAAUGUAUGUGCCCAAGGGGACCUAUGUGAUGCGGGGGCCAAUAAUUCCACCAAGGCUGAGUGAGCCCGUGGUUAUUGGCCGCGCGAAACAAAGGCCCAUGACGGAUUCCACCGCUGUGCCAUGGAACUAUAAAAAAUCAGUAGUGACUUACAAAGGCAAAGAGAUAUCGGCAGAAGUUUAGGAAAAUAGCCUGGCCGAGAAGUACUUCAAUUUGGAAGAGGUGAAUAAUGCCACGAAAAAGCGUUUCCCACCUAAGAAGCCGGUGAGUGCUGAAGAAGUAGAGGCGUUCUUUCAAAAAAUGAAAAUGGCAGAUUACAAGAUAAUCGACCAGCUUCGAAAGUCUCCUGUUCAUGUCUCUCUGUUAUCUCUGUUGAUGAACUCCACUGAACAUCAAAAGGUAUUGAUCAAAACUCUCAACGGAGCAUAUGUACCCGUUUAAACCACUGUAGAACAGUUGGAGAGGAUGUCAGAGAGGUUUUUUGCAAUCAACCAAAUCUCCUUCAGCAAGAAUGAUCUGCCCCCGAAGGGGUUCGCACACAACAAAGCCCUUCACCUGACAGUCAAAUGCGAAGGGUAUUAUGUGAAAAGGGUCAUGUUAGAUGAUGGUUCUGGGGUAGAUAUUUUCCCACUCUCAACUCUGCAGCGUAUGGAAAUCGGUACUGAGAGAAUCAGACCCAACAACGUCUUUGUGCGUGCCUUUGAUGGCAUAAAGAGGGAUACAAUAUGAGAGAUUGAUCUGAUCCUAACUAUCGGUCCGGUGGACUUUGAAGUGACCUUCAAGGUUUUAGACAUGGAUACUUCCUAUAAUUUCCUCUUGGGAAGGCUGUGGAUUCACGCAGCAGGGGUUGUGCCUUCUACUCUCCACCAGAUGGUGAAGUUUGAACAUGAAGAUCAGGAGAUUGUAGUUCACGGGGAAGAUGAUCAGUUGAUUUAUCGGGACCCGUCAGUCCCUUGUCUUGAAGCUAGAGAAGGAAGUGAACAUAUAGUCUAUCAGGCUUUUGAGAUUGUCGUUGUGGACCAAUGUGAAGAAGGAAACCCUUUCCCUCAACCCUUUCUUUCAAAUGCAUCGAUUAUGGUGGCCAAAGAAAUGAUCAAGCAUGGUUACAAACCCGGGAAGGGGCUCGAGAAGUCAUUGCAAGGGAUUGUCGAACCUAUCACUUUGGCUGCUAGUGAGAAGUUCUUUGGGGUAGGUUUCCAACCCACCUCAGCUGAUGGAAAAUGGACGGAUGAAAGAAAGAACAAUGAUUAGGUCUUGCCUUAGCCGAUUUCGCAUCUUUAUAGAACAGUUGUCAAGCCUAAAUACAAUGAGAAAGAGGAAGAUGAGGCCUUCAUGGCCGAAGAAAUCAAAGAAAUCUGUGGGGCUAUGAGGCAGAUGCUGUAUGAAACCCACAUGAUCCAACCAGGGGAAGUCUCAAGCACCGCUGAGGUGCUAUACAUGGGACCUAGUGCUAAACUGUAAAAUUGGAAGGCUACUCCAUUCCUAAUCAGGCUGGAGUCCCGGUAGACCAGUCCUGCCACUUUCUCUGCAUCACGAGUUAUUUUUCUUUAGUUUUCUGUCUUUAAUUUCCAAUGUAAACCCUGUUACCUUCAAAUUCAAUGAAAUGAAAUCAAUAUUUCAUCGUUCAUAUCUCUAUUCUUUCUAAUUUUGUUACUUUUUCUUAUUUUCUUCUUUUCAGUUCUAAUAAUGCGGCUUUAAAUAACAUGACAUGCUUGCGGACUUCAUGCUCAGAUCUAAACACGCUGUCUAACUGUGAAAUAGUGAACCAAGAACCGGAAUAUGAUGAAGAAGAGGCUUUUAGGGAAAUAAAUCGAGAAUUGGAGCAAUUUGAGAAUAAACCUAAGCCGAACUUAAAUGAUACUGAGCCGAUAAAUUUGGGUAAUUCAGAAGAGGUCCAAAGAGACCAUGAUAAGCAUUCACACAGAUNNNNNNNNNNNNNNNNNNNNNNNNNNNNNNNNNNNNNNNNNNNNNNNNNNNNNNNNNNNNNNNNNNNNNNNNNNNNNNNNNNNNNNNNNNNNNNNNNNNNNNNNNNNNNNNNNNNNNNNNNNNNNNNNNNNNNNNNNNNNNNNNNNNNNNNNNNNNNNNNNNNNNNNNNNNNNNNNNNNNNNNNNNNNNNNNNNNNNNNNNNNNNNNNNNNNNNNNNNNNNNNNNNNNNNNNNNNNNNNNNNNNNNNNNNNNNNNNNNNNNNNNNNNNNNNNNNNNNNNNNNNNNNNNNNNNNNNNNNNNNNNNNNNNNNNNNNNNNNNNNNNNNNNNNNNNNNNNNNNNNNNNNNNNNNNNNNNNNNNNNNNNNNNNNNNNNNNNNNNNNNNNNNNNNNNNNNNNNNNNNNNNNNNNNNNNNNNNNNNNNNNGUUCAUAAGUUGCCAACUUACCCUGAUUAUCCCCCUGUUCAGCAAAAGCAAAGAAAGUUUAAAACUGAUAUUAGUGACAAGAUUAAAGAAGAGGUCAAAAAAUAGUUGAAAGCGGGGGUGAUCCGAGUUGUUCGAUACACCACUUGGUUAGCCAAUGUAGUUCCAGUGCCAAAGAAAGACGGGAAAACCCGAGUGUGUGUGGAUUACAGAGAUCUGAACAAAGCGAGUCCUAAGGACAACUUCCCUUUGCCAAACAUCCACAUCCUCGUUGACAAUUGUGCCAAAUAUAAGAUACAGUCUUUUGUGGAUUGUUAUGCUGGGUAUCAUCAGGUCUUAAUGGACGAGGAAGAUGCGGAGAAGAAUACAUUUACAACACCUUGGGGAACCUUUUCCAUAGGGUCAUGCCUUUUGGUCUGAAGAAUGCCGGGGCAACUUACAUAAGGGCCAUGACCACCAUUUCUCAUGAUAUGAUGCACCAAGAGAUAGAGGUGUAUGUGGACGACGUGAUCAUCAAGUCCAAGACCCAGGAUGAUCAUGUUCGGGAUUUGAGAAAAUUCUUUGAGCGGCUGCGUAAAUAUGAUCUGAAGCUAAACCCAGCCAAAUGUGCAUUUGGGGUUCCAUUUGACAAACUUUUGGGAUUCAUAGUCAGUCGGAGGGGCAUCGAGUUAGACCCAACAAAGAUAAAGUCCAUUCAGGAUCUGCCUCCUCUAAGAACCAAGAAAGAUAUUAUGAGUUUGCUUGGAAGAUUGAACUACAUCAGCCGAUUCAUUGCCCAGUUGACAUCUACAUGUGAACCCAUUUUCAAGCUGUUAAAGAAAGACGCAGCAAUUAAAUGGACAGGUGAGUGCCAAGAAGCUUUUAACAAAAUCAAAGAAUACUUGUCGAACCCGCCAGUCUUGGUCCCGCCUGAACUAGGAAGGCCUCUCUUCUUGUAUCUGACAGUCUUGGAGAAUUCUUUUGGAUGUGUCCUCGGGUAACAUGAUGUGAUAGGGAGGAAAGAACAAGCAAUCUACUAUUUAAGCAAAAAGUUCACAAGCUAUGAGUCCAAAUAUACCUUGUUGGAAAGAACUUGCUGCGCUUUAACUUGGGUUGCUUAGAAGUUGAGGCAUUAUUUGUUGGCCUACACCACCUACCUCAUUACUAGGUUGGACCCUUUAAAGUACAUUCCAGAAACCAAUGCCCACUGGAGGUUAGCAAAGUGGCAGAUCCUGCUCACGACAUAGUCUACAUCACUCGCACGACAAUGAAAGCCCAGACAUUAGCAGAUCACUUGGCUGAAAACUCAGUUGAUGAUGAAUACCAACCUUUGAGCACCUACUUCCCGGAUGAAGAGGUAAAUUCAGUUGAGGCAAUAUCCGAGGACACCAAUGCUUGGAAAAUAUUCUUUGAUGGAGCGGUGAACGCAAAAGGUGUUGUAAUUGGGGCAAUCUUGAUCUCACCCACUAGUCAGCAUUAUCUAGCCACAACCCAGCUUCGGUUUUUCUGCACAAACAACACUACCGAGUAUGAAGCCUGCAUUAUGGGUAUGAACAUGACAAUCGACCAAGAUGUCGAAGAAUUAUUAAUCAUGAGAGAUUCAUAUCUGAUUAUCCGACAAGCUUAGAGAGAAUGGGAGACCCGAGAUGUCAAGCUUAUUCCUUAUAGGCAACAUGUGGAGGAUCUCAGCAGGCGGUUCAAGUCAGUAGAGUUUAGGUACAUCCUUCAAUGUCACAAUGAGCUAGAUGAUGCACUUGCUACUUUAGCCUCGAUGCUACCAUACCCAGGCAAUGCCCGCAUUGAUCCCUUGGAAAUCCAAAUCCGAGAAAGGCACGACUACUAUAAUACGGUUGAGACAGAACCAAAUAUUCAGCCAUGGUAUCAUGACAUCAAAAGGUUUCUGAAAACUAAAGAAUACCCCGAGCAGGCCAGCGGUGACCAAAAGAGAACCCUUAGGCGGUACGCAAGUGGUUUCUUCUGGAGCGGUGAUGUUCUGUACAAAAGAACUCCGGACCUCAACUUGUUAAGUUGUGUUGACGCCGAAGAGGCCGGAAGAAUCAUGUAUGAAGUGCACGCAGGAGUGUGUGGACCCCACAUGAACGGGUAUGUUUUGGCAAAGAAAAUCCUUUGAGCGGGUUAUUACUGGAUGACUAUGGAUAAGGACUGCUUCAGUUUCGUCUGGAAAUGUCAUCAAUGCCAGGUGCACGUCAAUUUGAUUCAUGCAUCACCUACAGAACUUCAUCCUAUGUCAGCACCUUGGCCAUUUGUUGCUUGGGGCAUGGACAUCAUUGGGCCGAUUGAGCCGAAAACUUCAAAUGGACAUAGAUUCAUAUUGGUCACUAUUGACUACUUUAGAAAGUGGGUUGAAGCGAUUACUCUCAAAUUUGUUACCAAGAAAGCUGUAGUAGACUUCGUGCAUUCCAACCUCAUAUGCCGUUUUGGUAUUCAUGCAACUAUCAUUACAGAUAAUACUGCAAAUUUGAAUAGUCAUUUAAUGGGGGAGAUAUGUGAACAAUUCAAGAUAACGCAUCAGAACUCUACUCCCUAUUGUCCUAAAGCCAAUGGUGCCAUCGAAGAAGCAAACAAGAACAUCAAAAAGAUUUUGAGAAAGAUUAUUCAAAGUUCCAGGUAGUGGCAUGAAAAGUUGCCUUUUGCAUUGUUGGGGUAUCGCACUACGGUGCGCAUAUCGGUUGGGGCAACCCCGUACCUUUUGGUUUAUGGAACUAAAGCCGUAAUACCCGCGGAAGUUGAAAUCCCUUCUCUCCGGAUCAUUGUUGAAGUUGAAAUUGAAGACAUUGAGUGGGUCAAAACCCGCCUAGAAUAGUUAACCCUGAUCGAUGAAAAGCAAAUGGCCGCGAUCUGCCAUGGGCAGUUGUACCAACAAAGAAUGGCCCGUGCCUACAACAAGAAAGUGCGGCCUAGAAAUUUUGAAGUGGGGCAACUCGUUUUAAGGUGUAUUCUUCCCCAUCAUGAGGAAGCAAAAGGAAAAUUUUCUCCUAACUGGAAAGGCCCAUACAUCAUUAGAAAGAUAUUGCCGAGAGAGGCAUUGUACCUGGGAGAUAUUGAAGGAAAUGAUCCCGAAGCAGCUGUGAAUGCAGACGCGGUUAAAAGGUACUAUGUUUAGUCUUUCUGCGGUGAUGGUAUUGUCCGAUUAUCAUUCUCGCUACCCCAAACACUCCAAUCCUUUGCUAACCCUUCGAGCCGGUUAUCUUUCUUUCAUUGCCCUCUUUGGAACUCGAAGAUGUGUUAAAAAAAAAUGUUUUCCCCAGAACUACGUUCGACUUAAUUUCGAAAGGAUACGUGGGUAGCCUCUCUAUGGGGUUCAGUCAUACCAAAAUAAAAAUCCAAAAUCCUAAAAGUGAAACUGGGGCAGAUGUUAUAAUGGUUCUGCGAAAAUCCCACCUGAACGGUUCUAAAGUUGUAAUUAGAUCCGAAUUCUUUUUACCCAAACCUUGUUCAAGUCCUUCCGAUCAAUCAUCAAAAGUUUUCAAAAUCGGAGAAUGCAGUUGUUUAAAUUCGAUGCAAUCAAGAUGAGAGAAACAAAAUGAGAGAGUCUUAUUGGUGAAAAUCUAUGGGAACUGUAAGGCAAUGAUGAGCAUAGAAAUUGAAAAUAAGAGAGUCUUGUUAGUGAAAACUCGUAAAGAGCACUAUAGGGUGACGGUGAGAAGAGAAAUGAGAGAGGUCGAUUGGCGAAAACCCGCAAAAGGCGCCAUUGAUCAAAAAGAAGGAACACCUCACCACCAUUGGUAUUGAAAGAGUCAUGGCAAGGUUUCUCGGUUUUUAAACAUGGGUCGCUAUGGGUUUAUUAGAAGUUGGAUAGUUGUGCAGAUCGGGUAUCCAGUCCAAGAAGCAUGUCAUGUCUAUUGAAGUCUGCAUGCACCCCAGAUAAGUCCUUCCUUCUUCCCCAAAAGGGACACUCUCCUUAAAUUUAUUUUCUUGUCCUUUGUUUACUUUUCCUUGAAUCCCUUUCGGUCUAACUCUGUUUUCCGAGACAAACACAAAGAAAAGGUGGCAAGAUUGGUCUUACAGGGUUCUACUUAAUAAAAGCCAAAUCCAAAGAAAGUACCUAGCCUCAGUGGGUGCAUCAAGUCGAUCCCGACUGACCAUGUUGGUCAAUGCUCUGAAAUCAAAGUUAUUGAAAAUGAAAAGAAAUCCAAAGUCAAAAGCCCCUAGAGGCAGAAUAAAGUGAAAGGGCCAAAACCCCGUACGAUUGAACCGUCCUGAGAAAAUUGGAAAAGUUGCGUUCCUCGGUUUUAGGAGAGAGAUCAAUCUUCAGAAAACCAACAAGCAACAGAGUUUCUCACCAGAAGAGUGGGACGAGAUCAAAUGAUCAACACAAUCAAGGCCACAAAAUCGACCACCGUUUCAAACUAACAAUUGUUCUUUGUUUGAAAAAAUUGAAACAGGUGCAAUCCAAAGCAACCGUGCAAGAAGCAGGUGCAUCCGAAAAGGAAAAGAUGCGCAAGUGCUAGAAACAGCUUUGCAACAAAUAGUCAAUCCAAAAAGGAAAGUUUCCUCCAAGUUCUUUCUUGCAUUUUAUUAAAUAAUGAAAUAAAAAAUGAAAAAAAAGAAGAAAAUCCAAACAAAAAUGGUAGUUUAAAAUCCCCAACGUCAAUCUUUUACGCUUUACCAACAUUAGGGCUCUAGUUCCUGAGUUGAGAUUUUAGACAUAGGGCCUCCAUUCCCUAGUCGCAUUUUUACCAACAUUAAGGCUCCAAUCCCUGAGUUGAGAUUUUAGACAUAGGGCCUCCAUUCCCUAGUCACAAUUUUGCCAACAUUAGGGCUCCAAUCCCUAAGUUGAGAUUUUAGACUUAGGGCCUUCAUUCCCUAGUCGCCUUUUGCCAACAUUAGGUNNNNNNNNNNNNNNNNNNNNNNNNNUCCUAACAUAGGGUCUCCAAUCCCUGGUUGAGUUUUUAUAAAUAUAGGGCUCCACUCCUUGAUCUCCCUCUACUAGAAGCACAUGACCCUUAUUUUAUUGCUUUCAAUAAAGAGAUAGUGCAAGGUUUUGUUAUAAUAGCUCACGAAAUUUUCCUAGUGAAAACUGAGGCAGAAAAUUUCGUUCGUUUGUUUGUUUUGUUGUUUGAGUAGGUUUGACCUCGAGGCAAAGGGUUCGAGACGACUAAAAGAGUGAGUCUCAAUCCAAAAUAAAAAAAAAAAAAAGAAAACGAGCAAAAAGAAGUGAGCUCAAAGUGCUGAAAUAGAGAAGGAUGUGGAUUGCUUAAAAUAUGAUUGAAGUAUCAGGUUUCGCAUGCCUCACCUUGAUCCAAAGCUGAAGAAUGAACCAGCGGUUACAGCUGACGAGCACUAAGAUUCAGAUCGGAGUCUGCAGCAAGAACCGGCUAAGACUCAAGAUCAAGCUCCAAGAGAUUUAUAGAUAGGAAUCUUAUAACUCGUAGUUGAUAGGCUUAGCUAGUUUAGCUUUUUACUUUCCAUUUUUGGUGUAAUAAGGAGUUCAGCAAGCAGCAACAGUAAAAUCAUAGCUUCCUGGUAGCCCCAGCUACCUAAACUUCAAGAACUACACUGACCUGAUUCCUUUAUAGCCAAGAAUAUGUAGGCAACCUUUGAAGCAAGGUUCGGUCAGACUCUUUUCAGAAAUGCUUCUCAUGGAGUUUCAGAUAGGCAAAAAUCCCUCAUAAUUGCUCAUUUUAUCUUUUCCUGAAAACCCUUCAUGUCUCCGAGCAAAGAGGGGCAGCUGUGAGCACGUGAUUUUUGCCUCACAGGAAUUAAUCCUACAGAAUUCCCAAAAAUUAGAUUUUCCUUUUAAUUAUUUGUUAUUUUAGGAAUUAUUGUAGAAUUUUUCCAAUUAUUGCAUUUUUGUGCAUGUUUAAGUUUUAUUUAAUUCAUGACAAAAUACAAAAAAAAAAUACAUUGCAUUGCAUUUAGGACUUAAUUUUACAUUUUUAGAUUAAUUAGUAAAUUAGUUGUUUUAUAAAAAUGAAAAAAAAUCACAAAAAAAUAGUUCAUUUUUGUAUUUUUGUUUUUUAAUUUUAGUUUAUUGAUUUUUCACUUUUAAUAUAGAUAUUAAGUGAGGUUUGUAAUUUUUCUUAAUUAGUUUGAUUUCACAUUUUAGAUAAUUUAGAAAUUUUUAAUUAUUAGGAUCGUUUUUAAUUAAAAAAUUAAAAAAAAGAAAAGAAAAAGUAAAUUAGAAAUAAUAGAGGAAUUAGAAAAGAAUUUGGGCCACCUUUAGUUUAAUUCCCCCAGCCCAAACAUUUCCCUACAAAAUAAGCCCAAAUCGGGCUACCCUGCUUCACCGCCCCAACCCAAAUAAUUGGGCUGACCCGCCUAUUCUGACCCGUUUCCCUCUUAAUAUAAAAUCCCUCUUAUAAUUUUUCCCCCAUUUGAACCCUAAACCUAGAGAAAUCAGAAGCGGCGCGGAGUGUGGUAUUCAUCAUCUUCCUCGCCACAACUCACCAUCACUCACCCGAGUUCACUCAAAAUGGCCCCCCCUCCACGUCAUUUGAUUCCUAACGGUUUUUGUCAGAGAAGCGUACGAUUAUUCCCUCAAAAUCGCAGAUUUUUGUACAAAAGGACAAUUAUUGGACGAAUGAGAGCCGUGGGUAGAUGUGAAUUAAUCCACGCCCUCCAUUUGUCCCAAAAUUAUUCAAAAACUUGAGAGAUUUUUCGGAGUUUUGGCAGAUUUUGGAGAAUUUUUGAGGGCUCUCUAUAUAUGAGGUAAGUCUUCUGUGCUAAGGGAGAAUUAGAGAGAAAAAAAAAUUAGAGGAAAAAGCGAAGAAAUCUUCAACAACUUAGCCUAAAAACUUCUAGGGAUUUGUAGUCGUCACUUUUCUUCAAGCUCUCAUCUUCUUCCGUCUGCUUCUUUCAUUUUCAGAAAACAUAUAUAAAAAAAUAUUUUGUUUUCUCAAGAGAACUUGAUUUAAAAAUUCAAGUUGUGGUCGAGUUUGUUUUUUUUUGGAGCUCAAAUUUCGACAAUGUUUCAGUCAAGCUGGUUGAUUCCUGUGUUCUUGCUGUUGUUCGUUUCAAGCUUUGAGUCGUCGUUUUACUCGUGUUGGUUUAAACUGUUGUAAUCGUUGAAGUUUGAUUAAUUGAAAGCUCCAAUUCCAGGUUCAUAUUUCUUCCUUUUGCUAUGUUUUUCUUUCUUUUCUCAGUGUUACUGUCGUAUGGGUGUGAUUAAAGUUUGGUGAUGCCGUACUCUCUCUUUAGUUGCUGUGAUUGUAAUGUAUGAGAAGCUCAUUGAGACAGAUGCAUAUGCUAAGCUUUCUUCAUAGAAUUGUGUGGAUAUGCUCUUAUCAGUAUGUUUAGUUCAUUUCUUAGCCUUUUGUUUGCGACUUGAUGUCGUUGCUAGGGUAACAGUAUCGUGUGGGAAUUGUUGAAGUUUGGUUAAAAAAUGUCUUUGCGUUUUCUCUUGAUUUCUUCAAUCAAAAAAACCUGAAAUCCUCAUUCAGAGAAUGUCAUUCCUUUGUUGGUAUAAACCUGAAGCAAAAUUUUAGAACCUCGUGUGCUAAUCUGCAUUUUGCCAUUUGUUAAAGUGUAACAUGUUAGUUUCGAGUAAGCUGUGUUUUUAAGGCAAUGGAGUUUCCAGUUCCUGCUAUGCCGCUCGUUGAUUUAGCCUCUGAUUUGUCAAAAAUAUUGAAUUUUUUUCAUUUGAGUGUGACUCCUUCAAUGUGAGCAGCUUCAUUGUGUUAGUUGUAUUCCUAUUUUUGGUAAAUCUCAGCCAGUGUAGUUUUGAGCUUUGUUUUCUAAUAGUACUCAUAACCAGUGCCGUUUUGAUCAUUAUGUUGUGGUUCUGGUUUUGUUUGCAGUCAAUUAGUUACUCUUCCAUGUCCCUUGUUUUGUCAACAAUGAUUUUCUUUAAAGUAACAGAUGUAGACAUCUUAUAUCGGCUUGCAUAUUGGCUUGGACUCUUUUGGUUGCUGCUGUUUAGUGUAGUACAUUUUUGUGCUUUGCUUAUUAACAUCCUAAUAUCUCAUUAAGAUGAUGUAUUUUGUAUUUUCCCUUUAACUGAUUUAAUGACUGAAUUUGUCUGAGUCACCGCUGCAUUUAGAUCAUUUCAGUAACAUUAUUUCUUUUGAAAUCAUGGUUGGGCAGAAUAAACUUCUAAAGUUUGUUUAUUGAUGUAAUAUUUCAAGUGCGGCUGUUUGAUAUAACAAAUCAGUUCUUUUACAUUCAUGAAUUGAGGCUAGAAGUUGUACAUUGUUUUCCAAUUUCAUGUCAUUAUAUGCAAAUCUACUCUUUAGCUAUUGAUUCAUGUUGAUGCCAAAUAAUUAAGAAGGAAGUUGACUGAUUCGCGCAAAGGUCAUUGCUGCGGCCUUGUAUUCAGAAAUUGGUCAAUUUAGCAAAAUUGGACCUAUGAGUAUAAAGUUCUAAAUGUCUUGCCGCAUCUUUGUUGAUCGCAUGGAGGAUAAGGUUCAUUCCAUGACUAAAACAUGAAUCUGCUGUAUUGAGUGUUGUUUAUAGUUGUGAAGAUAUAUUAAAGAGAUAACCAUGCAGUUUAUUCACCAAUAAUUUGUUUUCCACAAUCUACGGCCUUGUAGUAAUUUAAACAAGCUUAGGAAAUAAUCACUCAUGAACACCGUAGUUUGCUUUAGGCUAGAUUUAGACUAAUGUUAUGAUUGUGUAUACGUACGCGUAACAUAAUUGCAAAUUUAAUUCUAAAAAAUGACUCGAGGGAUGUGUUCGCGCAACUUCAACCAAACUUUUCUUAAUAAAAUAAACAAAGCGUUAUUAAUGGUGAACAUAUUUGCGUGACAUGAUUUUUGACGCGCCAAAAGAAAAGAGUAUACGUACGCGUAACUCAAUUCUUUAAUUACUAAUAAAUCAAGUGAUUAAAAGCGGUUAAAAGGUAAAUGCACAUAGGUCCUAAAAAUGAGUAGUUGAACAAUUAAGCCAAGUAUAAAUUGCUAAGCGAUCGUGCUAGAACCACGGAACCCGGGAAUGCCUAACACCUUCUCCCUAGUUAACAAAAUUCCUUAUCUAGAAUUUCUGGUUCGCAGACUUCAAAGGGAAGUCGAAAUUUCCUCGAUUUGGGAUUUAAAAUAAACCGGUGACUUGGGACACUAAUUAAAAUAUUCCAAGUGGCGACUCUAAUUAAUUAAAUUAAUCCCAUUUCGAAUAAUGUCACUUAAAUUGGAAAAAUUCUCUCAAUUUAGGCUUACCUAGUUGUAGAGGACUAGGUGCUGUCACAAUGGUUCACGGAGGGUGAACCGGGGUCGUGACAUAACGUAUGUGAGAGAUCAAUAUAGAGGGUUUAAAGGCGGGAUUAGAGAUAACAAAACCUUGGUGCGAUAGUAGUGAGCGGUGAAUUAGUGCCAACUAGCAUAGUUUGAGAGAAUAUGUCUAGUAAAUUAUGGUAGUUGCUCCAGAGAGAGCUACGAUACCCAAAUUGCUCAUGAUCGGUAGAGAAUACUAAGGCUAAUUUAUAGGAAACGUAGAGGAGGAGAUUCCGACAAUAGGGGAAAUCGUAACUCUAGACCUCUCCUUAUUUUUUUCUCUAACUCUUAGUAUCUCAUGUUAUUAAUUUACUACUUUAAUUUGUUAGUUAAUUAGUUAGACAUAAGAAUCAUAAUAUUUAUAACAUAGGAAUUGUUCGAGCUUGUCUUCUUAGUGAUAGUAAGCAGUUAUAGUUAAGCCUUAGUUUUCUGUGGGAUUCAACUUCGGACUCGUAAACUGAAUUAUAUUUGCAACGACCGCUUAUUAGGCGUGAUCAGUCCAAUUCACUAUUUUUUUUUGGUAUAGAAGUAUCUUCUUUCUCAAAGGAAUUAGUGUUAAGUCAAGACAAAUAUAUCCGAGAUUUUCUCUUAUGGACAAAUAUGGGAGGGGCUAAACCUUUUUUCUCAUUAACCAACUAAUCGGUCCACCAACUAAGAAAGAAGGGGCUAAAUCUAUCUCCGCUUCAAUGAUGUCAGGACUUCAAUUGUCACAUGGCACUAUCCAUCCUUUGGUUAUCCUAGUUUGUUUCGCAGCCUAGACGGACGCUACUAGAAAACUGUUUAAAAAUAUCGAUCGAAAUCAAUCCGAAAAUUAAAGAAAUCCAUCAAUUUUCGACCGACUUUAAUCCGUCAAAAUUACUUGAAUGCAACAUUUCAUAAUUAGGAAACUACAUGUUACUUACUAAUGCUUUAAAGAGUUAUGAUGUGAUAAUUUGUCUGCAUCCUAUGUUAUUGCCAAGCCUAUGUUUUUUAACUAUAUCGAGUUUGAGUUUCAUUUUGUUGCAAAGAAAGUACAGUCCAAGGAUCUUGAAGUUUGGUAUGUCAGCGCCCUUGAUCAGAUUGCGGACAUUCUCGCAAAAAGUUUGUCACCUCCGAGGUUUCAAUUCUUGUAAUUUAAAUAUCACUUGAGAUGGACAUGUACUUGUAACUCAAAUAUCCGUCGAGAUAGAUAACUAGAUAUCCUUCUCUCAUUCACGACUUGUACCUAUAAUUAUAAGACUAAUGUAUUCGAUACUGAUUUUACUACUUCAAUAUCAAAUUCUUGCGGUCACUACAAAAGAAUACUUUUUAUAGUGUUGAAUACGGUCGGAACUGGGCUCAUCUAUUGCGUGACGGAUCGGACCGAAACGUGAUGGAUUGAAGAUCCAAAGUACGAAGUCAGAACAUACGUCUCUAAGAUUUUCGAGCCCGUGACUCCGGAACCGACCCCGAUUCCGAAUAAGCUUGAGAAAACAUUAUUGGACUCAAUAAGGGAAAGCCGAAAUAUCCGCCACCGGUCGGAUAUCACGGCAGAAAUCUCGGCACGUAUCAACGAGAGACCGACUAAUUAGCAAAUCAUGAGAUUUCUUACUUUUUAUAGAAUUGUACCUAAAGAAGGACUUCCCUACUAUAUAAAGGGGGUUUGAUUAUUUGUAAUACACGUUGUAACACGCAUCCCAAAAGCAUUAUAAUAUUAUUUUCUUGUUGCAAGCUACUGUUUUUCUAUAUUUGACAUCACUUGGACCAUAUUCAGUUCGAGUGAGAUCUAUUUCUCAAGGCUAUAACUAUUCAAGUCACACGGUUUGAAUUUACUUUAUUAUUGUUUGCUUUAUUUAUAAUUCAAUCUAUCGCUUUGUGUCAAAUUAAUCCACGUAUCCUUAAAACCACUUAUAAAUUCAAUUGUUCUCCAAUUUUGAGGGUAAACAGUUUGGCGCCCACCGUGGGGCUAAGGAUAAUAGUGGUUAUUUGAUACAAAUUUUCAUAACACACACUAUUUUACACUUGUUCUUUAAAGUGUCUCUGAUUUCAGGCUUAAGCUCAAAACGUCAAACUCAGAAUUAACACCUCUACUUGCUGACAAUGAAUCUAGUCAUCAUGGUGAGAACAAUAACAUAACACUUGAUAACGAGGUACCGCCCAUUGAUCCAGUCAGAAUUCCAAUUACGGACCCAUUGGACGCUAAUUUGCACGUGGCUAUUGACACAAGCCUCCCUGCUGACCUCGAUAAUAGUGUCCGUGGUGGAGCUCGAUCGACAACACAUAAUACUCAAAAUAAUUAAGGAGACGGGGUCAAUCUAUGGAUGAUUUUCGAAAUAUUGUAGGCUCAACAGGCGGCAAUAGCUCAGUUACAAAACCAGAGCCGCGUACCGAGCAGGAUAGAGCCCGACCCGUUUCGAGAGACCACUCGUAGGGAGGAACUGGUCGCAAAAGAGUCAAGUGGGAACGAGUCAGGUAACAACCCCGAGAUCAUAAAAAUGCUCGAGGAGAUGACAAAACGAAUAGAAUCAGGGGAGAAGAGAAUCGAAGCAAAUGACAAAAAGGUGGAAACCUACAAUUCUAGGAUCGACCAGAUCCCUGGAGCGCUGCCGAUAUUGAAAGGCUUGGAUUCGAAGUUGUACAGAAACUUUUCCCUCCGACUACGGCUUCCAAAACCGAUCCCUAAAAAGUUUCGCAUGCCCGAGAUUCCUAAGUACAAUGGAGCGACCGGCCCAAACGAGCAUGUCACUUUAUACACAUGCGCCAUCAAAAGAAACGACUUGGAAGAUGAUGAGAUCGAGUCUGUCUUGCUGAAGAAAUUUGGAGAAUCCUUGUCAAAGGGAGCCAUGAUAUGAUAUCAUAACUUACCCCCUAAUUCUAUUGACUCAUUUGCUAUGCUUGCAGACUAUUUUGUGAAAGCACACGCCGGGGCUAUCAAGGUCGAAACCAGAAAAUCAGACCUCUUCAAAGUAAGGCAAAAGGAUAAUGAAAUGCUCAGAGAGUUUGUAUCUUGGUUGCAAAUGGAACGGAUAGACCUGCCACCAGUCGCUGAUGAUUGGGCCGUUCAAGAUUUUACCCAAGGACUCAAUGUUUGAAUUUCGAUGGCUUCACAAUAGUUGAAGGAGAAUCUAAUAGAAUAUCUGGCUGUCACUUAGGCUGAUGUGCAUAACUGAUAUCAAUCGAAGAUCAGAGUCGAAGAUGAUCAACUAGGGACUCCUUCCGGGUACCCAUUGACAGAGUCAAGAGGGAUAUCGAUCGUGAACCAAGGUCGAACAGGGAUCGGUAUCAGCCGUACAAUAAGGAUCGAAGAAACUGUGGGUACGGACGGGGUCCCAUGCAAAAUGAAAGGAUAAAUGACUGAGGCCAGAGCAGUCGGGGACUCAUGAGCAAGAACUAUUUCGACAGGCCUAUCAGACCUAGAGAAGCACCAAGGUUAUCAGAAUAUAACUUUAACGUUGAUACCGCUGCUAUCUUACCGUCUAUCGGACGCAUCAACAAUACCAAAUGACCUCGACCUAUACAAUCCGACCUAGCCCAAAGGGAUCCAAACCAGAUGUGCAAAUAUCAUGGCACUCACGGCCACAAAACAGAGGAUUGCUGACAGUUGAGAAAGGAGGUAGCACAACUAUUCAACAACGGGCAUCUUUGAGAAUUCCUGAGUGACCGAGCCAAGAAUUAUUUCAGAAAUAGGGACUCCAAUAAACAAACUGUACAAGAAGAACCUCAACAUGUCAUUCACAUGAUCAUCAGAGGGGUCGAUGUUCCUCAUGGCCUGAAGUUAAAGCGCACGAAAGUAUCCAUCACAAGGGAGAAACAGACUUGAGAUUACAUACCAUAAGGAACUUUAUCUUUCAGCGAUGAGGACGUAGAAGGAAUCAUGUAGCCCCAUAACGAUUCACUGGUAAUAUCUGAACUCAUGAAUAAAUCUCGAGUUAAACAUAUGUUAAUUGAUCCAUGUAGCUCGGCCAACAUCAUUCGAUCGAGGGUCAUAGAACAACUCGACCUACAUGACCAAAUCGUGCCUGCAGCCCGAGUGCUAAAUAGAUUCAACAUGGCUUGUGAAACUACUAAGGGAGAAAUAACAUUACCAAUAAAUGCUGCUGGAACUAUCCAGGAAGUCAAGUUUUAUGUGAUCAAAGGGGACAUGAGGUACAACGCCCUGUCUGGGAGGCCAUGGAUCCACGACAUGAGGGCAUUACCCUCGGUCCUUCACCAGGUGUUAAAAUUCCCAACGCAAAGAGGGAUUAAAAUAAUCUAUGGGGAGAAACCGACCACAAAGAAAAUGUUCGCAGUCCAAGAAGUGAUUCUGGUAUCAACACUGACGACAUCGAAUGAACCAAGUUCAAAUACAAAGCAGGAAACUAAAUAGCACUUAUCUACACCAGCCACGACCCAAUCGGAUAAACAGGGGACCAACGAAGAUGAUGAUUAUGGGGUUCCCAGGUCUUUUAUAGUACCGAUGACUCCGAUGCUACAAAAUCAACGGUCAAAGAGCUGGAGCAAAUCACAUUGAUCGAACAUCUACACGAUCAGAAAGUACCACCUGGGCACUGGGUUAACCUCCGAGCUCAGGAAAAAACUCAUUUAAUUUCUCAUAGCUAACAUAUUAUUUUUCUUGGUCCCAUCUCGACAUGACAGGGAUCUCAACGGAGAUAACCACUCACAAGCUGAGCCUGGACCCGAAAUUCCACCCGGUCAAGCAGAAAAGGAGACCUAAGUCUGAGACCAAAUAUGUUUUCAUCAAGGACGAGGUAACUAUACUCCUUAAAAUAGGGUCCAUUCGGGAAGUCAAAUACCCGGAAUGGUAAGCAAAUAUAGUAGUAGUCCUAAAAAAGGGAACAAACUAAGAAUGUGUGUAGAUUAUAAAGAUUUAAACAAGGCAUGUCCCAACGACUCUUUCCCUUUUCCCAACAUCAAUCACAUGAUCAAUGCCACGGCCGACCACGAGAUCUUCAAUUUUCUCGAUGCCUACUCCGGGUACAAUAAAAUACGGAUGAACCCGGAUGAUCAGAAAAAGACCUCUUUUAUCACUAAGUAUGGCACAUACUGCUAUAACGUGAUGCCAUUUGGAUUAACGCCGGCUCCACUUACCAACACCUAGUAAAUUGAAUGUUCGAAGAACAAAUAGGGAAAUCCAUGGAAGUUUACAUUGACGAUAUAUUGGUUAAGUAUCUGCAAGCAGAUGACCAUUUAAAGCAUUUGCAGGAAACCUUCAAUAUCUUGAAGAAGUAAAACAUGAAGCUAAAUCCGGAGAAAUGUGCGUUCAGAGUCGGAUCAGGUAAAUUUCUCGAGUUCAUGGUAUCCAACCAAGGAAUGGAGAUCAACCCCGACAAGAUCAAAACUAUCUAGGACGUAAAGGCCGUGCAAAGGCUAACCGGGGGCAUUCCUGCCCUGGGCAAUCCAUCUCGAGGUCUUCCGAUAAGAGUUACCGAUUUUUCUCGUUACUGAAGAAAAAAAACAACUUCACAUUGACCCCGGAAUGCCAACAGGCCCUAUAAGAACUUAAGCGAUAUUUAUCGAGCCUGCCACUGCUUCACAUGCUGAGGCCGGACGGACAACUAUUCUUGUAUCUGGCAGUAUUGAAAAUAGCGGCAAGUGGAGUUCUAGUUCGGGAAGAACAAGAUACGAAAUUUCCAAUUUAUUACGUUAGAAGGACCCUGGGUGAGGCAAAAACUAGAUACCCUCACCUAGAAAAAUUGGCGCUCGCUUUGCUAAGCACCUCUAGGAAAUUGAAACCGUAUUUUCAGUGCCAUCCUAUAUGUGUUGUGACAACUUACCCAUAGCGAAAUAUAAUGCAUAAACCCAAACUCUCAGGAUGAUUGGCCAAAUGGGCCAUGAAAAUUAGCGGUACAAUAUUGAGUAUCAACCUUGGACAACCAUUAAGUCUCAAAUUUUGGCAGAUUUUGUGGCCGACUUUAAGCCGGCCCUAAUACCCGAGGUUGAAAGAGAGAUAUUCGUAAACUUUGGGACAUUUUCGGGAAUCUUGACCCUCUUUACGGACUAUGCCUCGAAUGCAAAGGGGUCUGGACUUGGUAUCGUAGUGAAGCCACCCACAUGCAAUGUAGUUAGACAAUCCAUCAUAACUGUGAAAUUAAUAACAACAAGGCCGAAUAUGAGGCCAUGAUUGCAGGUCUCGAACUAGCCAAAAUCUUGGGGGCGGAGGUGAUUGAAGCUAAGUAAGACUCCCUCCUUGUGGUGAACCAAAUUAAUGGAACGUUCAAGGUUAGAGAAGAACGAAUGAAAAGUUACCUAGAUAAGUUGCAGGUAACAUUACAUCGGUUCAAAAAGUGGACUUUGCAGCAUAUACCUCGAGAUUAGAAUAGCGAGGUCGAUGCCCUUGUGAACUUAGGGUCGUCGGUUGAAGAUGACGAACUGAACUUGGGAGCAGCUGUACAACUUAUAAGAUCGAUAGUAGAAGAAGGUCAUGCUGAAAUAAACUCCACAAUCUUAACUUGGGAUUGGAGAAACAAAUACGUAGAGUAUUUGAAGACAGGGAAACUACCCUCAGAUCCAAAAGAAUCGAGGACCCUAUGCACAAAGACAACCUGAUUCAGCUUGUCGGAGGACAGAACCUUGUUUAGAAAAAUGUUCGAUGGCCCACUAGCAAUAUGUCUGGGACCGGGAAAUACCGAGUAUGUUCUAAGAGAAGUCCAUGAGGGAACCUGUGAAAAUCAUUUAGGCGCCGAAUCAUUGGUUCGAAAGGAAAUCAGAGCCGACUAUUACUGGAUCGACAUGGAAAAAUAGGCGAAGGAGUUAGUAAGAAAAUGUAAUGAAUGCCAAAGACAUGCUCCGAUGAUUCACCAACCCGGGGAACUGCUGCAUUCGAUCUUGUCAUCAUGGCCACUCAUGAAGUGGGAAUGGACAUUGUUGACCUUCUUUCAUGGGCACCUGGUAAGGCUCAAUAUAUAUUAUUUAUGACUGACUAUUUUUCUAAGUGGGUUAAAUCACAAGCUAUGGGAAGGUCAGGAAGAAGGAAGUCAUUGACUUCAUUUGGGACCACAUCAUAUGUCGGUUCAGAAUUCCAUCCGAAAUCGUAUUUGACAAGCAAACAAUUUGUCAGUAGCAAAGUGGCCAACUUUAUCGAGGAUCAUAAGAUCAAAAAGAUCCUGUCAACACCUUAUCACCCUAGUGGGAAUGGACAAGCUGAAUCGACCAACGAAACCAUACUCCAAAACCUCAAAAAAGGUUAACUGAUGCCCAAGGAAAAUCGAAGGAAAUCUUACCUGAAAUCCUAUGGGCAUACCGCACGACCUCAAAGUCUAGUACUAGGGCCACCCCAUUCUUACUGGUUUACGGUGCCGAAGCUCUAAUACUGGUCAAAGUCAUUGAACCAAGUGUUAGAUUCCAAUAUUCAACAAAGGAAUCGAAUGACGAGGCCAUGAGUACGAGCCUAGAGCUAUUAGACGAAAGGUGCGAAGCCCCCUUCGUCCAGUUGGCUGCCUAAAAAUAGCAGAUCGAGAGGUAUUACAACCGAAGGGCCAACCUUAGACACUUUAAUAUCAGGGAAUUCGUACUAAGAAGGUCACACUGAACACCUGGAAUCCAACGAAAGGAAGUUGGGUCCGAACUAGGAAGGACCAUACUAAAUUCUCGAGGUCACCGGGAAAUGAUCGUACAAACUCGGGGCAAUGAACGGUGAAAGACUACCAAAUAACUGGAACAUAACUCACUUGAAACGAUACUACUGCUCCGAUACAACCCCAUUCAUUUUCUUUUUACUUGUUUUUGGACUAACACUUGCAGGUAACCAACAAAAAGCGAAACAUAUUUUCAAGUCUGAAAGCUCGCGUUGCACUCUUUUUACCUUGAAUCGGUUUCGUCCCAAAUGGGUUUUUCAUCAAGGUUUUUUAGGAGGAAACAAUGGAUCGUGCUAACUUAGAAUAGAAGGCCUAUCAUGAAUCGGUGUUGAAGAUCGCAUCAACAGUAUCCGAGGCUUCACUCUAUGAUCAACCUCGAAUACUGGGGGGCAUUGCCCUCGGAUAUCAACUUAGCAAGGAAAAGUACUUCAUAAUAGAAGGGUCUCGAUAGGUAGGAUUUAUUGUAAGGGCUAAACGGUCAAACGAACCGUGCUCGCAUAGGUUGCUCAAGCCUUACCAUAAAGCAUGUACGAAUGUAUAAUUAUUUUACACAAGAAUAAAAAAAGUCUCUCCCUUGCAGAUAAAUAUUUUGUUUACAUCCGACCCCUUAAAAGUAUCGAGCCCAAGGGACACCUUAAAUACGAGUUUGAACAAUUACUCUCACUCAGGGACUAAACAAACUCGGAUGGUCCGAGCCAUCGGAGCUCGAGGGCAUAAGACUUAUCAGGCAAUGCCUGAUCUUAAAGGCCAUGAGCAUCCCCACUCAAGGACUGUUAUCCUAGGCAAGCCCGGAUAACUCGGGUCGACCAGCCCACUUGGCGACACCAAAACUAAAAAGGUCACAACCAAAUUAAAACUGCUCGGAGACGUCCGAGAAACCGUAACAAAGACAACAAGGCCUUAAAAUUUCUAAACCGGUUCUAAAGGCUACCCUCGGCAGACUAUGAAAUAUAAAAUAGUUUAAGUGCUUGGGGGAAAGAAAAUUUUCAGUCACAUCGAACCCCUAUGAUGCCUUAAAACAAAAUAAAGUUGAAGGCAAGGUUUCUUCAAGUUUAUGAACAAAAUCUAACUAUUUCAUGCCAAGGCAUUUAGAUCUUUGCAAAUAAAAGUACAUAAAGCAAAGUGAAAAAUCAAAAAUGGUUAAAGGAAAAAAGCCUUAUAUUCAUAAUCAAAGUUCUUUUUACAAGGGCCAAAUAUCCCGAUAAGAAAUUUUACAAAUGCCGAAGGGCCCUAACAAAAAAUUUAAAAAAUGAAAACAUCUAAAGGCCUAAGUGACCUAGUCUUCGUCGGGGACAACAUCAUCACCCUCGGGAUCUCCGCCAUCUUUGGAAUCUUCCAAGUCUUCGGGCUCUUCGUGGUCAUCGGGAUAGGCCAAUUUUAACCAUUGGCUUUGGCGCUCUCGAGCUCUUUGGCGCUCUCGAUCUCAGCUGCUAGGUUGAAACCUCGAGCAUGCAUUUCCUCAAAGGCCUCCCUUCAAGAUUGCCAUUUAACAUGAUCGAUGAUGUCUUUUUCUCAAACCUGAGCCACCUCGACAUUGUUCUUAUAAACAGCCACCAUCUCAUUGGCAUCAGCCUUAAUUACCUUGGCCCCCGACUUGGCCGUUUCGAGCUCCGUGGCCAGAUUUUCUCAAAAGAGACAUCCGAAUUCAACUGGGACUGGAGCUCCUCGAUCUUCUUGGCCUGCACUGAGGACUUCUCCUUUGUACCUCGGAGCUGGACUUUAGCCGAAGCCAGUUGUGCCCGGUAAGUCUCCUUUUCUUAGGCCAGGCGGUCCAUGUUCCUUUUCUAUUCUCCGGCCUCAGCCUUUACUACAUCUAUAUUUUCCCGGAGCUAUCCGAUCUUGUCGAUCUUCUAUUGGACCUGUGGGUUCAGAUCAUUAGUCACCAUGUCCGAUUCGUUGUCACUAAAUUUAAAAAUUCUUCUUACAUGUUCAGCCAGGUCGGCAUGCUCUUUUCGAGCCACCUCUAAAGCCCCGAGACCCUUAGCCUCCCCUUCUCUUUGCUUACUGAGAAGUUUGUAAGCAUCUCUUUUCUCAGUGAACCCUCCUUGUACUAGUUCAGCUCUUUUCGGUAUCGCAGGAACAUCUCAUGGUGGAGUACCUAAGCCUACAAACAUAGAGAGAGAAGUUACGAUCAUCUACAAAAUAAUCUAAGUACAAACUAGAAAUUAUUAAGAGCUAUCUGAGGUUACCCAAUUUAAUACUUGUUGGGCUUCAUUGAACAAACAAGGCACUUCCACCUUAUUCAUCUUGGCAUGAUCCUCCCUGAUCACCAAGCACCAAAGGUAACUGGCCACCCCCAUAGGGGUAUAAAAAACCCAGGCAUCUUCUAGAAUGGACAUAACAAUUGACCACUUCCAAUCAGGAUUCAAACUCCGGGCUGCGAACCGAUUGACUAGUUUCGGGCUCGAGGUAGGUCCACUCGUCCCCGAUGAUGGAUUCUUCUUCGGCACCAGUAUAUCACCCAACCCGGUGAUUUCCUCUAUAGCGGUAGAGUCUACUCCAUCAAAGAAGUUUUGAAAGGAGUCUACCGCUCCUUGUGGCUCAUUGUUGGGUCAUUUUUUCAGUGCUUGAGCAUCGACAAACAUAAACUCGGUAAAUAAUGGCGAACUGAAAAGGUAUAUCACUUCGGGUAUGCCCUUUAGAGCACUAUCCACUGUUUGGGAAGUACCAACUAUGAUCUCGUUGUCAGGCUCCCUAUCUCGAGGCGAAGCGGCCUCGCCUCUUUUUGGGUUGGAAGCUUCGGCUAAAGCUCCCUUAUCGACCUCCCCCAAUUGAGGCAAUUCAGUUUCAGCUCUCACCGGUUCGGGGGCCCCUCGUACCUCGAGCCCUGACAGCACACGGACCACUAGUUCAGAGGUUUCUUCUUCUUCUUCUUUUAACUCAUCCUUGAUCCGAUGGAGUGAGUCCGAAGAGGGCGCCCGAGCAUUGGUGCUACCCUUAGGUUUACGAAUCAGACUUCUUUUUGUUCUCUUCUUUUCCGAGCUCGGAGAACUCAGGGACCUAUUCCUUUUCUUCACAUCACACUACCUCAGAGCAGGGGACUCGGCAGGCACAUCCUCGUCACCAAACAGAGGCAUCAUAGCAAAAUCUUUGGGAAUACCUACAAAAGAAAACAGAAUGAAUAAGAACUCAAUGGAACGAGGAAAAAAUCAAAUAUUCUUUAAUUUGAAAAAGGAAACUUACUAUGGGAACAAGCAUCCCACCGGCCCUUCGAGAGUUCGUGCCACGAAUGCUCAUAAUAGGGUUUCUAUGACAUAAGGCCCUCAUCCCACUCCUUGAGUUGAGGAAUAGCUGCGCCACAAAACGUCGAUAGAAGGGAGAAAAAAGGGAAAAAUAAUAAAUGAAAUCUUUAAGGCAAGGUUAUACUUAUGUUUCAUGUUCCAUUUCUUGGGAAAUGGCAUGUCCUUGGUUGGGAUUAUAUUUGAGGUCUUCACUCAAACGAAUUGGCCCAACUAGCCAUGGUCUUGAUCCUCGUCUAUACUCGAGAAUGGGGCCUUACUGGCCUGACGGAAAAGUUUUAUUAAUCCCCCUGGAUAGAGUCGGGGAUUGUACAGACGCAUGAGAUGAUCGAGGGUGGAGGGACACGCAUCGAUUUUGUUUACAAAUAAGUGGAGGAAAAUUACUAUCCUCUAGAAAGAGGGAUGGAUUUGACCGAGGGUCACCUCAUACCUCUUAUAAAAGGCAAUAAUGACCGGGUCCAAGGGGCCCAACAUGAAGGGAUAAGUGUAAACACUUAAAAACACCCUCCACGUGGGUAGUAAGCGCUUCCUUAGGCGUGGGUACCACCACGUGUUUAUUAACCCAAUUAAAAUCCUUUUUGACCUUGGAGAGGAAACCAUCAUUGAUCGAGCAUAUAUAUCUCGAGGCCAGCUCGCAUCGACCCAUUACUGAGGAAGUUUUUUCAACCUUGAAAUCAGCACCGAUCGAGCACCCACCAGGAAUAAACACUUCAAGGUGAGGUUCCACUGCUGGUUCCUUACCGGCCGGCCGUGAUAAAACGACAAUUUCUUUUUGUGGAACUAUCUUAGAAGAUUUUGCCAUUUUUUGAAUAGAGAUUAAGGAGAGGAAGUGAAAAGUUACUCUUAAUGUUUUGGAAUGAAGACAAGCGAAAAUUCUUGUAAAAACCUCAAGAAAUCUGGUACAAGUGUUAGAGAAUGCAAAGAUUUUCUAAGAACAAGAGUAGAACAGGUUUAAACGUAAAGUUUGAAUGAAUGAAGGAUGGAGUAUAUGUACUAUUCAAAAGAUGGUUCAAAGUCUGUAGGGGCCGACCAACGACUACGAACAUUUAAUGCCAUUAAGAUGUGACUGACGAGACUUUUUGUCUAUUUUUGUCGUUUCUAACGCAAAGUAUUGAGAUCAGGAUCAGGGGAUCAUAUCGUUUCUCGUCGUUACACUCCGAAAAAUGAAGGAAAUAUCUAUAUACGGCCGAUACAAGGCUCAUCUAUUGCGUGACGGAUCGGAACCGAAAUGUGAUGGAUUGAAGAUCGACCUUAAGUUCCAUCGAAUCAGAGUACGAAGUCCGAACAUACAUCUCCAAGAUCUUCGAGUCCGUGACUCUGGAAUCGACCCCGAUUCUGAAUAAGCUCGAGGAAACAUUAUCGUACCCAAUAAUGGAAAACCAAAAUAUCCGCAACCAUUCAGAUAUCACGGCAAAAAUUUCGGCACAUAUCAACGAGAGACCGAUUAAUUAGCAAAUCAUGAGAUUUCUUACUUUUUUAUAGAAUUGUACCUAAAGAAGGACUCCCCUAUUAUAUAAAGGGGGUUUGAUUCUUUGUAAUACACGUUGUAACACGCAUCUCAAAAGUAUUAUAAUAUUAUUUUAUUUCUGCAAGUUAUUGUUCUUCUGUAUUUGACAUCAUUUGGACCAUAUUCAGAUCGGGUGAGAUCUAUUUCUCAGGGCUAUAACUGCUCAAGCCACACGGUUUGAAUUUACUUUAUUAUUGUUUGCUUUAUUUAGAAUUUAAUCUAUCUCUUUGUGUUAAAUUAAUCCACGUAUCCUUAAAACUACUUAUAAAUUCAAUUGUUAUCCAAUUUUAAGGGGAAACAAGUGUUGAAACCAUUGCUGAAAUAAUCAUGUAACUACAAGCAAUUACCUAAUACAGUCAUGUCUUUUGUUUAUAACAGAAAAGUCACUUAGCUAUGCAUGCCUAUAACACUAAGAAGAUCACUAAACUAGAUUUCUCAAACUUUCGAUACCCAAAUGACCAUUUUACCCUCUAAAUUAUCAAUCUUUGUGUUUUUUAUAUACCUUUUUUAAUAUCUAUAUUAUUUUCUCUUUUUAAUCUAUAUAAUGGACUUACGUAUAGAAAAAAAUAAAUCUUAUUUCUAAAUAAAAAAAAGUGAAAAAUAGUUUUCAAGCAUAUAUAAUAUUGGUAUAAUAAAUAAUCGACUUUAAAUUUUGAAUUCAAUUCGAAUACGAUUGCCAAAAAUUUGCAUCCUAGCUAGAAGUCUUACUUGAUCAAGAGGAAUUGACGUGGUCCCUGCCAUAAGAUUGCAGGGCAUAUAUAACAGGCACAAGGAGGAAUUACCUUAUGCUGAGAGGCAACAUAAAAGGAAAAAUCGCAAGUGGGGCAUGCAAACAACUAUUAAUGUACAAAAGGAAGCCCGCAAUGACUGGCAGUUUUAUUUAUUUAUUCUUAGAAAUUAAAAUAUUAGGAACUAAAUUAUAGAGAUUAAUAUUAUUGUUGUUUACCCCUUAAAAUGGAUAAUAAUAAAAUUUGUACACGGUUUAAAAAAUAUGUGAUUUAAUUUAACACAAAUAAUCAAAGAAUAGUAAAUAGUUGAAUCGAGAUAAGAUGGAAUGAUCAAAACCAAGUAACACAAUAAUUAAGCCUUGUGUUUUACUUAAAUUCCAAUGAUCGACAUCGACUGAGCCUUCGAGAUAGAGGUCAAAUCAGAAUAAAUGAGUAAAUAACUGAAGAACACUUAAAAUGAUUGCAGAGAGCUAAAGUAAAUUUUAUUGCCUUGUUAUGCGUCAAAAGAGUGAGUGCGAAAUAAAGGGGUCCUCCUCAUUAUAUAGUAGAGGAGAUUUAACCCUAGUAUAUGUCUAAAUGAAGUAAAAAUAUUUUCCUUCCUUCUAUCCCAAGAAAAUAAGAUCCACAACCCAUACCGAGCGUGAUCUGCGCUGUAAUAUCCGGCAGAUGGCAGAUAUUUCGGGUCUUUGUUUUUCUCCUUCAACUGUCUUUCCUUUACCCUAAAUUCUUCAUCUCACUCGAGCUUGAUUCUCUCCGGGUUCAGCCGUGCUCGAGACCGGUUAUGUCAUUCGUCCAUUCUUGAUUCCGAUCUGUGAGUAUCUUCGGACUUACCCGAGCCAGUAACAAGUAACGUCGUUCCUUGUUUCACAACGAAAAAUCGGGGAUAACUCUAUCCUCGAUUUUACCUGUAUGCAAUUAUUUACCCCUUAAAAUGAAUAACAAUUAAAUUUGUACGUGGUUUAAAGGAUAUGUGGUUUGAUUUAAUUCACAUGAUCAAAGAGCAAUAAAUAGUUGAAUCAAGAUAAGAUAGAAUGAUCAAACAAAAGUGACGCAGUAAUUAAGCCUUGUGUUUAACUUAAAUGUCAACGAUCGGUCUCGACUGAGCUCUCGAGAUAGAGCUCGAAUUCGAGGAAAUGAGUAAAUAACUGAAGAACGCUUAAAAUAAUUGCUGAGAGCUAAAGUAAAUUUUAUUGCCUUGUUAUGCUUGAAAAGAGUGAGUGCAAAAAAUAAAGGGGUGCUCCUCUUUUUAUAAUAGAGGAUAUUUAACCCUAGUAUAUGUCUAAAUGAUGUAAAAACCUUUUCCUUCCUUCUUUCCCACAAAAAUAAGAUACGCAACCAAUAUCGAGCGUGAUUCACGCUGCAAUGUUUGACUGAUGGCGGAUAUUUCGGCUCUUUGUUUGUCUCCUUCAACCACCUUUUUUUACCCUCGAUUCUUCAUCUCACUCAAGCUUGAUUCUCUCCGAGUUCGGCCAUGCUCGAGACCCGUUAUAUCAUUUGUCCGUUAUUGGUUAUGAUCUAUGGAUAUAUUCGGGCUCAGCUGAGCCAAUAACAAGUGACGUUGUUCCUCGUUUCACAACGGAAAAUCGAGGAUAACUCUAUCCUCGAUUUUACCCGUAUACAGAUAAUCUCUUCACUUCUCAGAGAGUAGAUUAUAGGAGCCAUGAGAAGUGACCAAUUGACCCCAGUUCAUUCCCUCGUAAGUCAUGCACAAGCUGACGAGCCAAAACGUCCUAUCGGUCACAUUGUUCUGAUAUUGGACAUUCGUCAGUCGUCGGUUGAACACCUUUGGCGGUUACCGAAUUCAAAAUGUCUAGCAAUCAUUACUCAUUCCCUAUAAAAGAUCCGAUUUCUCACUUUUGCUUUUUUACUUUUUGACUUCAAAUUUCCUUAAGUUGCCUUCGAGCUUUUCAUAUCUUCAUCCGUUUGUCGAUCCUUUGUACCCAUCUCCUCAAACCUUUAUAAGUUGUUUUUCAUACCUUCAUAUCUUCAUAUUUCAUUUUCGAAUCUUCAUACCUUAUAUUCAAAUCUUCAUACCAAAUCCCUAGAUCUACAUAUUCGCAGAUAGGGAUGACGCAGACCUCAAAAUCAGUACCUCAAAAUACUGCACCGAUGACCUUUUCCUCGGCCACCGGCACCGAGGAAAUGCCUCCAGUAGUAGCCUCAGGACCUACUCUUACAAGUUUUAUUCCCGGUAGUUGCUCCAUUGAUAAUGACUUCAAAGUCGAGAAAGCCUCUGCACAAGGAGAUCGAGGUGAGGGGGUAUGUUUGCUCCAUUACCAAGAAGACACUCAAGACUGUCCAAGAUGACUGCAAAUGGGAAGACAAGUACGUAGUCGUUACCAGUCCUAACAAGGACAUAAAAACACAUGUGGAGAGGUGUUUAAGUGUUUACACAUACCCUUUUACAUUUGGUCCUAUUGACACGGUAGUCCUCAAGUUUUACAAGAGAUAUGACAUUUUCCUUGGGCAAGUUCACCCAUCCUUUUUGAGGAUCAUGACUCUUCUCCGCCACUUUGCAAACAAUAUGAAGGAUCCAUAGUUCACGGUUGAUCACUUUCUUCGAGCGUUCAACCCCCGGGCCUGCUGCGACGUGUUUCCCGACCCAUAUAAUAAUACGUACGUCUAACGUACUAUAUAUAUAUAUAUAUAUAUAUAUAUAUAUAUAUAUAUAUAUAUAUAUAGCCAAUGUAGCCUGUUGCGGCGCGCAACCCGUUCCCAUAAAUAAUGAUAUAUAUAAAACCAAUAUGUCAUUCUAUGGCGUGCAACCCGAUCCCAUCAAUCUCACUCAUAAUCUGGCCUCAGGCCCCAACUCAGUCAUCAAUCUCUCCAGUCUCUCGGGCUCACAACUUCAUGCCAAUCAACCUAAACAAUGGUAAUAUGAUGUGACAACAAAUGAUAAUAGAGACUGAGAUAUGAUAUACAAAUGAAUGAAUAUGACUGAGUAUAUGAUUGCAAUUUAAGCAAACAACCCAACAAUAGAAAUGACCUCAGUGGGUACCAAUAGAAUAAGCACAUAGCCUAACAUGGUUUCCAACAUGGAUCACAACUCAAUUACUCUAGUACAUAAAAAUUCAAGGAUAAAAACAAGAUAGAUAACUACACGGUACCAUAGAAUCUUCCAAGUCAUAAUUCACAUGGUGCACGCCCACACGCCCGUCACCUAGCAUGUGCGUCACCUCAACACCAAACACAUAACACAUAUAUUUAGGAGUUUACACCCUCAGUACCAAGUUUUGAAGUGGUACUUACUUCAAACAAGCUGAACUCAAUACUGAGCAAGCCAAACAAUACUCUAGAAAUACCAUCCUGCAUGUAUCAACCUCCGAACGGCCUGAAACUUGCCAAAAGAAACUCAAAUACAUCAAAUAAUACCUAAGUAAACAAACCCAGUCGAUAAAGGUCAAAUCUUUAAUCAAAAGCCCCAAAGUCGACCAAAAGGUCAAACCCAAGCCGCACCUCUGAACCUGACAAAACUCAUAAAAUCCGACAACCCAUUCAAUUAAGAGUCUAACCAUACUAGUUUCACUCAAAUCUGACUCCGAAUCGAUGUUUAAAACUCAAAAAUUCACUUUAUGAAAUUUUAGGCAAAACCCUCUAAUUUCUCUCCUGAAAUCAUCAAUCAAAUGCAAAAAACGAGAAUUAGAUUCAUGAAAUAUAAUCAAAACUAAGUAGAGAACACUUAGCCCAAUCCAUAUCCGAGCUCCAUAGCUCCAAAUAUGCAAAAAUGACCAAAACCUCCGAAAUAGAGUACUUUGCAUUCACUACCCAGGGAUACUCAUUGUGAUCGCAGAACAACCUUCACGAUCGCAGAGAAUAAGUGCCACUGGCAACCAAAGCUCUACGCAUUCACAACACUAACAAUUCGAACGCAAAGCACACAUGCGCCCAAACAUCGCGAACAUGUCCCAUCUUAUGCGAAUGCAUUAAAGAAUUUCCAGCUCCCAGUUUCCCACCUUAGCUCUAUGCGAACAUGGCCUCUCCUAUGCGAACACAUACUGUAACCAACACCAAGCUACGCGAAUGCGGUCUUCCAAUCACGACCGCAAUUAAGAAAUUACCCAGCUCCAAAAAAUUUCCUCUAUGUGAUUGCACCUUAUACUUCGCGAUCGCGAAGCACAUUUGGUGCACCAGACAACAACAGAAGCCAACAAUGCAAUUAUGAAGAAAAACGGUCCGAAAUCAAUCCGAAUCAUGCCUGAUCUCCUCGGGACCCCGUCCGAACAUUCCAACAAGUUCCAUAACAUAACACGAACCUACUCGAGGCCUCAAAUCAUGCAUAACAACAUCAAAAUCAUGAAUCGCGCCUCAAUUCAAACUUAAUGAGCUUUUGAACUUUCUACUUCCAAAGCUCGUGUCGAACCUUAUCAAAUCAACUCGGAAUGAACUCAAAUUUUGUGCACAAGUUCCAAAUGACAUAACGAAGCUAUUAAUUCCGGGAACCAUAAUCCGAAUCCGAUAUCAUCAAAGUCAACUUUCGUUCAAGCCUAUGAAUAUUCCAAACUUUCAAAUUUUUCACUUUCGCCAAUUAGUGUCGAAACCUUCUAGAGAUAUCCAAUACAAAUCCAGACACACACCCAAGUCCAAAAUCACUAUCCGAACCUAACAGAAUCAUCAAAACUUCGAUCCGAGGUCAAAUACUAAAAAGUCAAACUUGGUCCACUCUUCCAACUUAGAGCUUCAAUCAUGAAACUCAUUCUUCUAAAGUAAUUCCGAAACACCUAAAAACCAAAACCGAUCACACAAGUCAUAAUACAUCAUUUGAAGCUACUCAACACUUGAAAUGGCUGAAUGGAAUGUAAAUGCUCAAAACGACCGGUCGGAUCGUUACAGAGUUUUUAAUGUGGUCCCACAUUGGAAGGAGUGGAUCGAGGGUAUAUGCAAGCAGCUCACCUACUCUGAACGUGAGUGGCGUAAGCUCUCCACAGGCAAGUGGGAGGCUCAUUCCCAUGGUGAGUGGUUUUUACUGGUAGAUCUCUUCCUUGUCGCUCUUUAUUUCGGCAAUGGCGCAACCUUUAUUCCUUCUUUCACAGGCUUGACAAAGACCACCAAGCUUUGGGAAGUCACUUAUACCGUGGUAUCGACCUCGUCUUCCAAACUAUCUACCUCUCUACAGCCCGUUGCAAAAUUUGUUGCAGAGGAGGACGAGAAAACAAAGAAGAAAAAGAGAUUCCCCGCUCCUCGGAUGCUCCUGCUGUGGUCAAGAAAAGAAGAAGGAUCGUGCUCAGGGUCCAGAAGAGUACAAUAAAAGGACUCGGAUGCCUAGGCCCCGGGCUUUGAAGCUUUUCGUCAGCUCAAGGAUUUUCUCAAGGAUGACAAAGAUAUGGAGAACACUAACCAAGAGCCAAAAGACUUGGAAAAAAUGGAUCGAGGUUCAAUGGAUUUGGAAAACACAAACCAAGAGCUGAAAAGCUCGGACAACACCAAUCAAGAGUUCCACUAAGGAGGAUGCUCGUGAAGCCAAAUCCUUUAACUUAGGGGAUCCGAAGAAGAAUAUGCGGUUGCUGCUUUGGAAGAAGCCCUUCUGGUCCCAAUAAGGAUCGUUUCUAAAGGCAACAUUGUUAUCCGUAUCCACGAGUCACCGCUCCAGACUGAGGCCACUUUAAAUGAGGGUCGAUCCACUGAAGAAAAGUCGACCGAAACAUCCCGAGUUGUGGAUGAUGCCAUUAACUCAUUUUUGAAGGGUGUGGACAUCGGUGCAUUGGAAGAAUACUCGGGAUUUUUCCACUUGGAGAUCUCAAAAAAGGUUGUUCAACCAGAAUUAGGUGGGUCGAGUGUGAGCUCAAAGCUUGAGAAGCGAUUUUCCGCUCUGAGUGCGGACGUAUAGCGAAAGAGGACGCUCAUGUUCUUGGUGCCGAUGAAGACUAACAUGUUGUUCGGGCCAGUCAGAGUGGCCAGCUAUCUCCAUACCUUGGUAAUCUAGGAGGAGAAAAUGAGGAUGAACGAGGUAGGAGGGCCAAGCCUUUUCAAUGAGGCUUAGCAGACACUAAAUCGGGUAUGUCUUCUUUCCUUUUUAUUCUAACGAGUUCUCGUUUCUCUAACUGUCUUUAACAGUCGUUUUUCUCCGUAUCUCAAGCCUUGGUGCUACACCAGGGGAGCUUCCACCGAUCCAGGAUGGAGGUGAGUCAUCUCGAAUUUGAGUUGAAGGAACAAGUCCAGCACAUAGAGAUGUACAAAGCUCUCUGUGAGCAAAAGGAUGAAGUCCUUAGGAACACGACCGCCCUCUUCACUCUUCAGGCUAAACUGGAGAAGGCCUAGAAAGAGGCCUCGAAAGCAAAAUAUGACUAUACUCUUCUGUUGCAUCCUAUUUUGCACUAGUCAAAAUAAGAUUCAACUUGCGGUUUCUAUGUUGUUGAUGAAAGAGAGUCGCCACCUAAUAUUUAAAGGUAUACUAGGGUUGCGAUUUAAUUACUAUAGGUUAUAUUCUUCAUUAGUCUUCUAAUUGGUAAUAUUAUGGGUAAGGGUUCUUGCUCUUCUAAGGGAAAGGUGUUAGACACCCCUUAAAAGCUACCUGAGAUAGCUCUAUAGGACUUAGACUAGAUUUAGGACCAAUUGUUUGUACUAUGCUUUAACUAAUAUUUAAAAGAGUGUAACAUACCAUAUAUUAUGGCAUAAUACCUAUAAGGAAGAGUUUAGUUUAAAUAGGUGUGGGUUAAUAGAAGAGUUUUAGAAAAUAAGGUUAGUACAUAUAUGCUUGAAAAGAGCUUUUGAAAGAUGUAUGAUGUUUGUAAAAAACAAUGUGUAAAAGAGAAGCUAAGUUAAAAUACUUUGUUUCCUAAAGCAUAGAAGUUCAUAUUAUUCUAAUGAGGUAAAGGUGUUAUGAAAAUAAGCCUAAGAUAUACCUUGUUCUUAAAUAUUAGACUUGAGCAGAUUGUUUGAAAACCUUUGUUUGGACGGCAACACCUUGUUCUUUUAGAAAAGAGUUGAUUUCCUUUUAGAAAAUUAAACGCGUGACUCAGUUCUGUUUUUUUUUUCAAUGGGGGACUUAGGCCUUUGGGCUUCAAAAAUCAUAAGAAAGAGUUAGCAAGGCAUAAUAAAUUAAUAACUACUCAUGAUUAGCGGAUGUGAAAUUGAUUGCUAACUAAGGUUUCUUUAAAUCUUGCCUAAGUCACUUUUAUAUGAAUUAAAAGAUAAAAUAAAGCAUUCAAUCAAAUAUAUACUUACCAUAUACGUGCGAGAUAAAACGACAGAAAGACAGUAAAGAUCGACAUAGUGAAACUAUAGAAUAAUGAAAAGAAAAAAAAAUAAAGAAGCGAAGAGAAAGAAAACACUUUGGUGUUUGGGCCUCAAAAAGGCAGGCCCAACAGUAACAGGGUCAACAACUGACUCUGGACUCCCAGGAUAUAGCAACGCUGGUUUUGGGCCUGAGUUUUUUAAGAACUCAGCAGGCCCAAGCCACUAUACAUGUUCAAAAAAAAAAGUCAUUAGAAAAACAAUACUAUAUACAUGCCUAUAUAUAUGAAAUUUAAAAGCAAAAAAUAAAGGAAAAUCACUGAAAGUAUUUAAACACUAAGAAAGUUACACUAAUAUGGAGGUUAUGUAUAGUAAAUGAUCCACAUUGAACACCUUUCGUUGUUAUUAGGCAUCAAACCCAAAGAGAAAAAUAAGUGUCAGUGAAUCAAUGACUAAGGAGAGAAAUCUACUCAAGGUCGAUGCUCCCUUUGAAUCUCCUAACACAACAAAGUUCCCAAGGGUCUCAAGGCCCAGGGCAAUGCUUGUGUCAGGGAGAGCAGCCCAACCUAAAUUUAAACUCUAUUCCCAAAUACCCCCUAACUACUAACUACUCAUUUUACAUUGCAUGUUUAAGUGCCAAUGAAGCUCUUUCAAUGUGAGCCAACCACCAUAACAUAUCCUACCACAAAAUAAUUCCCUUUUCUUAACAAAAUAACACAGAAACACAUAGAAAAAAUAUAUUCUUCAUGACUAUGUUUCUAGAAUUAAGUGAAUCCAACACAUAUUGAACAGUUUUAAAAUUCAAGUUUCUAAGCACACAUGGAGACAUGAACACUUAUACUAUUGUUGCUAAAGAACCAAACAACUAGAGACAGAUAAAGCACAUAGCUUAGAGCUGCAACAGCUUAGGGAUACCGAUGCUAUUGAUCACAAAUUAGUUUAACAUCAGAUAUUUUUAUUAGCACACACAUAGGUUAAAAAUACUACUUAGAACCUUGUGAAAACAUCAGUAGAGGUUUAGACGAUUACACAGGAAGGUUAUUAUACUAAAUCAGUAACAACAAGAGGUUUCUCCAAGACCAGAUUCAAUCCAAAUUAACAAAGAAAGAGAGAACUAGGUGCAGUUUUAAAAACAGUGUUCAAAAGUAUGAAGUCAUGAAGGAUAAACAAAGAUUCAUGACAAACUUCCACACAUACAGAGAUUUCAACCAAUGUUAUGACCUCAUAAUAUAGGAUGAGUCUUAACCAUUACAAAAUCAGAUUAUCUGUAUAUAGGAAACAUCAUAGUAAACAUGCUUAACUCAUCUGUUCAGACUAAGGUUAAUAUCCAGACAUGGUGGUGUUGUAUUUCAGGUUACAGAAAUAGAUAGUAUUCAACUACAGCAGAUGCAACUACAAUCUAGUUCAUAAGAGGUAUGUUGAUCAUAACAAAAUAUAUGCAGAAUGAUCACUGAUGUUUACAAAAGUUCCCUAAUAAGACUGUUUCAUACUAAGAGAUACAACAUAAAGUUAGACAUGGAUAUGAAGCUUUCAUAAUGACAAUUUAAAGAAUGCUCAAAAAUUAGCAAGCACUUAUACAAAGAAGGAGAACAUUUAAACACUUAAACUUCAUGUAUUUUAGGUAAAUGAUGAAGAGUUAAACUGUGAUGGUCUAAUUCGCAUCAACAUUUAAGUGAGCAGAUUGAGAGUUCACAUAUUUAAUAGCUCUGAAAUCAAACUUCAAAGAACACGUGUAAAAUAGUGUGUUUUAUCAAGAUUAGCAUUAAAUCACCACUAUUAUCUUUAGCUCCACAGUGAGCGCCAAACUGUUUGCCCCUUAAAAUGGAUAAUAAUUAAAUUUUUACGCGAUUUAAAGAAUAUGUGAUUUAAUUUAACACAAAUAAUCAAAAAACAGUAAAUAGUUGAAUCGAGAUAAGAUAGAAUUAGCAAACCAAAGUGACACAGUAAUUAAGCCUUGUGUUUAACUUAAAUGCUAACGAUAGGUCUCGACUGAGCCAUCGAGAUAGAGCUUAGGUCCUUCUAAAUGAGUAAAUUACUAAGAACGCUACAAACGAUUGAUGAGAGCUAAAGUAAAUUUUAUUGCCUUGUUAUGUGUCAAAAGAGUGAGUGAGAAAAAUAAAGAGGUCCUCCUCUUUAUAUAGUAGAGGAGAUUUAACCCUAGUAUAUGUCUAAAUGAAGUAAAAAUCUUUUCCUUCCUUCUUCAUCACGAAAAUAAGAUCUGCAGCCAAUACCAACUGUGAUCCGCACCGCAAUAUCCAACUGAUGGCGGAUAUUUCUGCUCCUUGUUUGUAUCCUUCAACCACCUUUUAUUUACCCACGAUUCUGUAUCUCACUCGAGCUAGAUUCUCUCCAGGUUCGGCUGUGCUCAGGACCUGUUAUAUCAUUCAUCCAUUCUUGAUUCCGAUCUGUGGGUAUCUUCGGACUUACCCGAGCCAGUAACAAGUAACGUCGUUCCUUGUUUCACAACGAAAAAUCGAGGAUAACUCUAUCCUCGAUUUCACAUGUAUACAAUUAUAUAGUGAAGCAACCAAUAAUCUAGUAACACAUCUUGAAAUAGUGGGAGCAAAUAAAAAGGGGACACAAUUAGGGUGUGUUUGGUAUGAAGGAAAAUAAUUUUCAAAAAGUAUUUUUAGUUUUCCAUGUUUGGUUGUCUUAAAUAUUUUGAAAAAUAUUUUCCUCACGAACUCAUUUUCCUCCAAUUAUUGGAAGAAAAUAUUUUUCCUAUCAAGAGAAGGGAAAAUAUUUUUCAAAACUCUUAUUCAACCUUCCCCACUCUAUUCCCCAUUCCCAUCACACCCUGCCCCACCCCUCAUCCCCACCCCAACUCCUAAAUAGAAAUAUUAUUAAUAGUACUUUCUUUUCAGGUUAUAGAAAGGGUUCUUUUAAUUUUAUUUCACCAAUUGAGAAUUUUCUUUUCAUAAUAUAUAUAAAAAUAUUUUUCUUCAUUUUAACACAAAAAUACUUUUUUCCAUGAUGUAGAAUAAAGUAUUUUCUUUUAUUUUAACAAAAUGAUGUAGUAAAAAGUAUUUUCUUUCAUUUCAACAAAAUGAUGUAAUAAAAGAUAUUUUCAAAAGAGUAUAUUUUUUCAUGAUGUAGAAAAAAAUAUUUUCUUUCAUUUCAACAAAAUGAAUACUUUAUUUUUAUGUUGUAGAGAGAGUACUUUUUUCGGCCAAAUUUUUUUUAGUUAUGGAGAAAAAAUUUCAACAUUGCUUAAAACAAAAAAUAAAGCAGAAAAUUAAUUCUUUUGGUUCGUGUGAAUUUUUAGAAGAAUAAUUAAAUCUUUGAAGAAAAUAGAAUUAUAAAAACAUUGGGUAUUUGGAGGGAGGAUGGAUGGGGGAGAGGGCAAAAAACAUGGGGACUUGGGGGGGGGGGGGUGAGGAGAGUAGCUUACAAAUAUUUUUCUUAAAAAUAUUUUCUUCUCUCUAACCAAACACUAGAAAAUAUUUUCUGGAAAAAAGUUUUUCACUCAAUAAUCAAACAAGGAAAAAUAAGUAACAAAACGAGUAAUUUUCCGUGAAACAUUUUCUGGGCAACAUUUUCCAUGAAAAUAUUUAUCUUCUUAUCAAACACACCCUUAAUUAAACCAAGUAAAAUAAGGUUCAAACGCAUUCCAAUUUCCAUAUAGAAAAAGGUUAGAAUAGAAAGAAAAAGAUGGGUAACUGGCUACGAGCAAUUGCUAAAGGAAUGCAUGUACAAGCUUUUGCAUCCUUCUCUAUCACAGUGGAAGGGGACACAUCUUGCUAUGUUUCGUAGAAGAAUUAAAAGCUGACUACAGAGAAAAUAGGGGCCAAUGAAACAUUAUCUUCAACACCUUUUUUCUUAGUUCUUGCUUGACUCAAAAGAAAUUAAAUUCUUUUUAGACAAAUCAAUCAAAGAUGAAGGGGUAAAUCGUAGCUGAAGAUAAUAAACUCUAGGAUGAUAAUAAUAGAGAGAAGAGAGUUGUCAAUUUUCUUUUUAUUCAAAGCUAGUAAAUCUUGUCAAGUGCCCCCUCUUAAAAGGCUUUCAACCCUCUUAUAUACUGAGGAAUUUCUUCCAAACGCGGGAACGACAAGUGAAGAAUUAUCUAAGGAAUAUUCUCUAGGUCUCCUAAUGGGCUGAUUCUACUGCCGAGGUCGUAUCUCUCUAGGCGUCGACUCAUAGGUACUCGGUCGUUUGUCAUGGUCAUUGUAGGUCGUGGUCGUUCAAAUUCGGACCCAUAUAGUUAGUCCCUCCGCUCGUCGAGGACGCGACCGGGUGCGUCUUCGAUGAGCGGACUUUAUGCCUUUCUUGGGAGGAAUUUGACCCGUUGGGACAUUAUGACGCGGCCAAUCGAGAGGUGGGUAUCAUGUUCAGCGGAGCAUCGAAGAGUACAUGACACCCGGGGGUGACGUCAGCUUUACGUGAAUCAUCAUUACGCGGAUUUUCGAGGCAAGGACUGAUAGUUUGGCACUUUGAUUCUUGCGCUAAUUUGAAGCCUGCCGCCUUGAUUCUGGCACCAUACAACCCUAUAAAUAGAUGAAAGGUUUGAUUUUUUGAAAAUUUUUAGCCACUCCCUCUUGAUAACCUCUAAGUCUUCUUCAUUUUCUCUUAUACCUUCUUGUUCCCGUUUUCAUUCCUUGCCGGAAGUUUCUUCUUUUUCACUCCCUUUGAGUAGCUACUCCUUUACACGAAACUAUGCCAAGGUCUCGUUGUGCUAAUGAAGAGGUUCCUAAAGCCGCCUUGUCAACCACAGCGCCUCUUUCCGGCAGCGAAGAGGUAGAGGUAGAAGAGGGUUAUAGCCCUCUUAUGGUGGAGGCGCUACUAUCGAGGCAUCCCCUAUCCCGGAGUGAUUUCCUCAAAGAUCCGUCCCUUACUCCGAACCUCAUACUUUCCGAGAUAAAGCAGGUUCACCUUGAUGCCCUCCACAUAAAGUAUGGUAUUCCUGCCCAUGUAGAGAUUAUUCGGGCGGGGGAAGAUUAUGUUGACGUUUACAAGCCUGGGUACUGUGCUUUCUACGAGUAUCCUUUUGUGAUCGGUUACACCCUUCCUCUCUUCCCUCUAGCAGAAGAAUUCUACAGAUUUUACCAAGUUUGCCCGGCUCAACUUUCACCUUACACGCUUAAGGUGCUUCUGCUAUUGACUAAGUAUGCAGAGUUGGCAGAAUAUAGUGUCUCCAUCCAUCAUCUUUUGCACUUAUUCACGCUUGGCUUCCUCAGGGGCACCAUGGUGCACUUGAGACUUCGUGGUACAAAAGGGCUGGUGGUCGGGACGGAUGACCGGCAAGCCAUAAGUUAUGGCACAAGUACUUCUUUAUCAAGACCGAACACGUCGUUUCUGACCCUGCCGGAUUUUUGGAGCGAUGGAACAGAACUCGCAAGUACCGCCGUCUAUUACAUCCCCCUGUUUUCUGUAAUUAUUGUAACUUUUGCUCACUAGUCAUGUCACAGCUAUGGGCUGCCCGCCUCGCCCCAUUGUGGGUCUCAAGAACUGGGUAGCUCGCAUGUUGCCUCAUGCGGAGGAAACUCGGAACUGGUCUGCCUUCGUGCAAUGUUAUGGACCUAGGGUUUCCUCAGGCAAGAAUCUGCUCUACUGCCUCAUUGGCCAUGCAACCCUGCUUGACCGUAUGACCCUUUGUGAUGGCAGGUCGAGGAGCUUCUAGAUGGAGGGCGCUAGUUCCCGCUUUUAGAUUAUUCGUUGCUACUGUAGACACGCGAUUUAUUUUGUGCGAGUCUGUUCAGGAAGGCCGUCCUCAACUUACUCAACCGGGAGAUUCGUUUCGAACUGUGGCCACGAGGGAAAGAAGCCUCGUUGGUACCGGCCUCACAUCCCGUUGACGAAUCUUCUAAUGGUGACGAGCCGUUAGAGAGGAAAAGGAGAAGGUUGGAGCUAGGAAAGGGCAUGGCUACGGAUGUCGACGGCAGUGGAGCCUCCCAAACAGCCCCGGUGCCCGUAUUUAUGGCUGAUGCCAUUUUGUCGGACAGGUCUCCCCGAUUGGAGGGGACUGGCCCGGGGUCGGGUUCAGUGCACUCCGUUGAAGGUGGCGCAUCAUCUAAUGUUGGAGGUCCUCGUAUUGAGGGUGACAGCUUGGGUUCGGAUAUCGACCCAGAGGAUAUCAGAGAAUUUUUGGGUCACCACACCCAUGUGGAGGUUAGGAUAGAUGGAUCUGACCGUCAUGUGGUAGUCUUGGGGAGCUACAACUUGCUGCUGAAUAGUGAGCAGGUUGCUUCGGCCCUUUCUCUUCUAUGUGUCGCUCUUGAAAGUGAAAUGCUUGGAGCGAUGAGCGAUGCGGAGUUAUCUCAGAAGGUCACUGGUAUGGCCCUGAAGGUAGGUUCCCUUUUCUUCUCUUUUUGUCAUGAGGUCAUUGUGUCAGUCGGCAUUGUGUAUUUUAUUUUUUUAACUCUACCCUUCUCUUUUGUUAGACCCUCGUCCUGGAGGUGUAGAGGGAGCAUUGUGAGGACGGGCCUCUAUAAGAAGAUGUCGUCAAAGUAUCAUCAGUAUCGUGCUAAACAUCAGGCGAUGUCUGACAUCUAUCAUUAAGAUCUCGAGUUCCAGAUGUUUCGCGAGGGGCUUAAGCAAUGGGAGGACCAAUUGGAGCGUAGGAUAAAGGAGCUGAAGGAGAGGGACGAGGAUCUUGUGAGGGCUAUCGCCCGUAGUAGCGAACUGGAGGCCUUCCUUAAGGUGAAAGAGGACGAGCUCGGGUUGAGCAGGGGAGUAACGGCUGAGAAUGCCAACUUACAGUUGAAGGUGGCCGACAUGACCGCCGAGUUGAAUGCUAAGGCAGCGGAGGUCGACGGGCUCAAGGGCGAGCUGAAUGCCAGCGCUGAUAAGUUGGUAGCCACUAUUUCUGAGCCGGUAUUUUGGAGGAUGCUCUCCGCAUUUCCAGGUCGGAACUUACUGGGGAAGGGGAUGCCUCCGGUCGUUGAAUCACAUGGCUCGAAGGGCGUGUUAAGGAGUUAAAGGCAGAGUUAGCCGUAUUGCGGGGGCAAAUGGCUUAGCUGAGGGCGGAGGAGGCAAAUCGACGUUCUCAACCUUUUAUGUCUCAUGCCUCAUCCAAUCAGGGCUCGCCUCAUCACUUGUAUGAGUUGUGGGUCCAUGCAGAGGCUCGACUCAAUGUAUAUAAGGCUUUUCAUGCCGAGGGCAGGGCAACAGAGGCGGAGGUUCAGGAGGUGCACGCUGACGUGCGUGUAGCUCAUGAGUCAUGUAGAUACGACCCCCUCACUCCUAACGCGGAAGAUAUCAAUUCUCAUGACGCGAAUCACCUUGCUUUGGAUUCGUGGUAUGAAGACACUUACCCCGCUGGGAAUGAUGUGUAGUCUUGGUUUGUAUUUUACUUUUGCUUAGGAAUUUUUUGGCAUGGUCUGUACUAUGGCCUGUUUGUAAGGGCAAAUGUAAAUGAUAUUUUGCUGUAAUGUAAAUUUUACUUUCGCCGGUUUGUUCGUUUGUCGUUUUUUCUUUUACUUAUUGCAUAUGAUACUGACGCCCUUGGAUGUUGGGAUGUUUCUUUGAACUGCCGUCGAAGUAGGAUUCCGUCGUGGUUCGAACGAGGUCGAACUUAAACUUUUGUCGAUGGCCUUGGCCAUUGGGAUGUUGCUUCGAACUAUCGUCAAAGUAGGAUCCCAUCGUGGUUCAAACGAGGUCGAACUUAAACUUUUGUCGAUGGCCUUGGCCAUUGGGAUGUUGCUUCGAACUGUCGUUGAAGUAGGAUCCCAUCGUGGUUCGAAUGAGGUCGAACUUAAACUUUUGUCUAUGGCCUUGGCCAUUGGAUGUUGUUUCGAACUGUCGUCGAAGUAGGAUCCUAUCAUGGUUUGAAUGAGGUCAAACUUAAACUUUUGUCGAUGGCCUUGGCCAUUGGGAUGUUACUUCGAAUUGUCGUUGAAGUAGGAUCCCGUCGUGGUUCGAACCAGGUCGAACUUAAACUUUUAGCGAUGGCCUUGGCCAUUGGGAUGUUGCUUCGAACUGUCAUCGAAGUAGGAUCCCAUUGUGGUUCGAACGAGGUCAAACUUAAACUUUUAGCGAUGGCCUUGGACAUUGGGAUGUUGCUUCAAACUGUCGUUGAAGUAGGAUCCCGUCAUGGUUCUAACGAGAUCGAACUUAAACUUUUGUCAAUGGCCUUGGCCAUUGGGAUGUUGCUUCGAACUGUCGUCGAAGUAUGAUCCCGUCGUGGUUCAAAUGAGGCUUAAACUUUUGGCGAUGGCCUUGGCCAUUGGGAUGUUGCUUUGAACUGUCGUCGAAGUAGGAUCCCAUUGUGGUUCGAAUGAGGUCGAACUUAAACUUUUGGCAAUGGCCUUGGCCAUUGGGAUGUUGCUUCGAACUGUCGUCGAAGUAGGAUCCCGUCAUGGUUCAAAUAAGGUCAAACUUAAACUUUUGGUGAUGGCCUUGGCCAUUGGGAUGUUGCUUCGAACUGUCGUCGAAGUAGGAUCUCGUCGUGGUUCGAACGAGGUCGAACUUAAACUUUUGGCAAUGGCCUUGGCCAUUGGGUUGUUGCUUCUAACUGUCGUCGAAGUAGGAUCCCGUCGUGGUUCGAACGAGAUCAAACUUAAACUUUUGGCGAUGGCCUUGGCCAUUGGGAUGUUGCUUCGAACUGUCGUCAAAGUAGGAUCCCGUCAUGGUUCGAAUGAGGACGAAUUUAAACUUUUGGAGACGGUUGUAUUCCCAUAUGAAGAUAUCACAUGUCGACGAUGUCAAACUUUGAUUUGUGUCGAUGAUUGCAUUCCCAUAGGAAGAUUGUAUGUCGAUUAGUAGAGAUUUGAUUCCAUACAAUGGAGAUACGAUUCCAUACAUAUAAUGGAGAUACAAUUCCGCUCAUAUAAUAGAGAUACGAUUCCGUACAUAUAAUGGAGAUUUUGAUUAUCUAUAUGUAGUCCCUUCAUUGCUUUGUUCCGGAGAUCAUAUCGCCGGGUCGAGGUAAUGAACAACACGUCGAUCCAUAAAGCAUCCCCCUCGCCGCCUCAUUAAAAACCUCCCUAGGAAAACUCGAUUGGGACAAAACUCGGGUAAGUAAAAAAGAGUACGGCUUAGGUGACGCCUUCUCUUAGAAGUGUAAGUACUUGAGGUGGGCGAUGUUCCAGUUGUUUUGGAGUAGUUUUCCCUCCAUUGUUUCUAGCUGGAAUGCUUCUUUGUUUGCUACUGUUACUAUCUUAUAUGGUCCGUCCCAGUUUGUUCCCAAUUUAACUUCAUUAGGGUCCUUCGAUGCUUGUGUUUUGGCCUUGAGGACGUAGUCGCCAAUUUUGAGUGGUCACACCUUGGCUUUCUUGUUGUAGUAUCUCUCUACUUGUUGCUUCUGGGCUACCAUUCUUACGUGGGACAUGUCUCUUCAUUCUUCAAUUUCAUCCAGAUCUUGUAGCCUACUUUCCUCGUUGUUUGUUCCGCUCUCGUUAGAGUAUCUCAAUCUAGGCUCCCCGACCUUGACAGGUAUAACUGCGUCGGUUCCAUAGACCAGUGAGUAUGGCAUUUCUCCUGUGCUGGAUUUUUGGCGUAGUCCGGUAUGCCCAUAAUACUUCAGGUAGUAGUUCGGGCCAUAGCCUUUUGGCCUCCUCAAUCUUCUUUUUCAAUAUGUUCAGUAUUACUUUAUUGGAGAAUUCGGCUUGGCCAUUGGCGGCAUGGUGGUAUGGCGUGGAGAGUAUUCGUUUGAUGUGCCAUUUUUUGAAAAACUCAGUUGUUCUUUUUCCAGUGAAUUGAGGUCCGUUGUCACAGCUGAUUUCCUUGAGGAUGCCAAAAUGGCAUAUAAUAUUUUUCUAUAUGAAGGCGAUGACCUCCUGCUCACGUAUCUGAGUGUAUGCACCUGCUUCCACCCAUUUAGAGAAAUAGUCAGUUAAAACCAAAAGGAAGCGUACCUUACCUCAUCCUGCUGGGAGGGGGCCGACAAUGUCCAUUCCCCAUUUUAUGAAUGGCCAUGGCGAAGUGAUGGAAUGGAGGAGUUCUCCCGCUUGAUUUAUCAUGGGAGCAUAAUUUUGACAUUUCUCGCACCUUCGAACAUAGUCUACGACUUCUUUUUUCAUGAUAGGCCAGUAGUAACUGGCACGGAUGAGGCAUCGAAUGAGGGCGCGGUUUCCCGUGUGGGCUCUGCAAUGCCCUUUGUGUACUUCUUCUGGUACUCGCCUUGUUUGAUGUGGUCCAAGACAUUUAUCUAGGGGACCGCCAAAUGUUCUUUUGUAGAGAUCAUUGUUUAUUAGGCUGUAUCAGGCCACCUGUACCCAGAGUUUUUUGGCUUCCUUUUUGUCUUAUGGAAGCGCUCUAUCUUGCAAAUAGGCUACGAAGUGGUUAUGCUAGUCCCAUGUUAAGUUUAUAGAAUGUACCUCGACAUGGUCAAUUGCGGAAUGAAGGAGUGUGACCACGUUUUCUUUGUUGAUAUUCUUGGUGGCUGCAGCCAGUUUAGCAAGGCCAUCUUCUUCGAUGUUUUGCGCCAUGAGUAUUUGGUCGAGGCGGCACUCAUCGCACUCUGGCAGUAGUUUAUGGAUUUCCGAUUGUAUUAUAGCCUCUGCUCUUUGAUUUGGAAAGUCCCGGUGACCUGGUUCACCACGAGUUGGGAGUCACAGUGGAGGACGAGUCGUCGAGCGCCAUACUUGAGGUAUAACUUCAAACCUGCAAUCACAGCUUCAUACUCGGCCUCGUUGUUAGUCAUCUUGGGGAAUUGUUUGUACUGGCGAAUCAUUUCGCCCAUAGGGACCUCGAGGACGAGUCCCAGUCCCAAUGCAUUGGAAGUGCCAUUGGUAUAGAGGACCCAUAGGUCUAUAUGUGUGGAGGUACGAAGUGCUUCUUGUUCUGCCUCGGGCAAUAUCUCUAUGCUGAAAUCAGCGACAAAGUCUGCGAGCACCUGCGACUUAAUGGCAGUUCGCGGUUGGUAUGUUAUGUCAUGCUCACUUAAUUCUAUGGCCCAUUUGGCGAGUCUACCCAACAGUUCGGGUUUGUACAGGAUACCUCUUAGGGGGAAGGUCAUUACUACUUUUAUGGGGUGACAUUGAAAAUAUGGUCUAAGCUUUCGUGAAGCUACGACCAGUGCCAGAGCUAGCUUUUCAAGCUGAGGGUACCUUAUCUCGGCAUCUAUUAAAAUUUUGCUGAUAUAAUAAAUCGGAGAUUGCGUACCUUUAUUUUCACGGACCAAGACUGCACUUACCGCAACUUCGGAAACUACCAAGUACACAAUCAGACACUCGCCUGGAUCCGGUUUGACGAGUAGUGGCGGCGAAGACAGAUACGCCUUCAGUUUUCUCAAGGCGUUGACACAUUCCUCGUUCCAUUGCAGUCCGUGGUCGUUUCUCAGCACAUUGAAGAAUUUGUGGUCAUCUAUCUAAGGAUCAUGAAAUGAACCUUGCUAAGGCAGCUAUUUUCCCCGUUAGUUUCUGCACCUGCUUUUUGCUGGUCAAUACCUCUGGUAUCGCGUUGAUGGAUUUGAUUUGAUCCGGGUUGACUUCGAUUCCUCUUUGCGACACGAGGAAACCUAGGAAUUUUCCUGAGGCCACGCCGAAGGCGCACUUCUCCGGAUUUUAUUUCAUCCCGUACUGCCAUAAUAUCUCGAAUGCUUCUUUCAAAUAGCUAAUGUGAUCUUCCUUCUUUGUCGACUUUACCAGCAUAUCAUUGAUAUAGACCUGCAUGCUCUUGUCGAGCUACUCUUUGAACAUUUUGGUGACUAACCUCUGGUACGUGGCUCCUGCGUUCUUGAGUCUGAACGACAUCACUUUAUAGUAGUAAGUUCCUUGAUGAGUGAUGAAAGUCAUCUUUUCUUGAUCCUCUUCAGCCAUUAGAAUUUGGUUGUAACCGGAGUAGGCAUCCAAGAAACUCAGCAAUUUGUGCCCAGCUGUCGCAUUGAUCAGUUGGUCGAUAUGAGGGAAUUGGGAAGGAGUCUUUCAGGAAUGCUUUGUUUAGAUCGGUGAAGUCCACACACAUUUGCCAUUUCCCGUUCUUCUUUUUGACCAUGACCACAUUGGUGACAUAUGGAACCGUUGGCAAGUAAUUUAUCCACCUCCUCGCUGACCGCCUCAUUGAUUGCGACAUUGAACUUUCUCCUCAUUUUUCGUACCGGCGGAUAGAGUGGUCGACAUUCAGUCUAUUAGUGGCGAUGUCCCUUGGGAUUCCUGGCAUAUCUGAGUGGGAGAAGGCAAAUAAGUCGGUGUUGUUAGUUAAAAAUUCAUGAUACUUACCUGGCUCCGAGAGGUUAUGCCCUAUGUAAGCCUUUUUUGUGUUAUUGACGUCGUCCAAUUGGACGAGGUCAAGAUCUUCUAUAGUUGCCUUGUAGGCUUAUACGAUAUUCGAGUCUUUGAUGGCCUCUAUUUGUGGAUCGGGUUUGGUUCCCUACAUAGCUAAUUGCUAUGCCUCUACACUUGCUCCUUUUAGUUGUUUGGUGUACGUGCAAUCUUGGGAGAUCCGAUAGCAUUCUUGCGUGGUGCGUGGCUCGCCUCAGAUGCUGAAUAUUCCCUAGGGGGUAGGAAAUUUGAUCACUUGAUAAAAGCUUGAGGGAACGGCCCGCAUGGCAUGUAUCCAUAGUCGCCCUAUGAUGGCGUUGUAGGCUGUUUCCUGGUUCAUGACGUGGAAUGUUGUCUCCAGGGUGACCCCUCCCGCUAGUAGAAGUAGCACUAUUUCUCCGGAAGUCCGUUCUACUACAUUGUUAAAGUCUUUUAGUGUUAUGCAAUGCAGUAUUAUUUUAUCCUCGAGCCUCAUUUGCAUGAGGACUCUCGGGUGAACAAUACACAUGCCGCUUCCGUCAUCUACCAUGAUUCUUUUCACAUCUGUAUCAGUGAUGCAUAAAGUUAUAACCAAAGAAUUAUAGUGAGGGAAAGACAAACCGUCGGCAUCCGACUUAUCGAAGAUGAUACUGUCUUCGAGAUCAUCAUAUCGUUCGUGUGCGACCGUUCGUUUGAGUUUAUCUAUGGUGGUGAACUUCACAUGGUUGAUGAUCGUGUUGUCACCAUCGCCGAUGAUCAUCUAUAUGGUACGUACUAGCGACGGUGGCUUUGGAGGUCCUUGAGAUGGGUCACGUCCUCGAGCGAAGUUGUCUAUUCCCUUGUCGCUCAGCAGUUCUUUCAGAUACCCCUAGUUCAGCAUCCUGACUACUUCUUGUUGUAGACCUAUGCAAUCCUCGGUCUUAUGUCUUGGUGGAAUUCGCAGAGGACGUUGGACCUCCUGGUGCUUGGGUCCGAUUUCAUUUUUUGCGGCCAUUGUACCUUUGUGCCCAGCUUUUCCAGUGCGUACUCUAUCACUGAAGGGGAAACACAAAAAUUAUGAGUAGAUAGUAGUAGAGGCAUACCUCUUUCAUUUCGAGUGGCACAGUGUGCCGUGGCAAGGCUUCCAUGUGUUGGGGAGGGGGCACGUUGGAUGUUCGGAUGUAGGGCUGAUGCCUUUCUCGGUUGAAGCAUGGUGGUUGAUCUCUUCGCCUGUCAUUACGUCGAUCUCUCCUUAUCUCAGUUUGGACUGAUGUUAAUCGCUGAAGCGGCCCGUUCAAGUCGUCCUUAUCUGCCCUUACCUCGGCGCAGUAGGCGUUGUGAAUUUCUUCCCAUGUGGUAGGGGGAUACUUCAUGAGUCUGCUGAGCAGUUUUUUGGUCGCUUUUGAUCCGCUCCUGUUUAACCCAUUUUGAAAGGCUACUACUGCCAUCCCUUCUGACACAUUUGGUAGGCUCAUCCUUACUCUGUUGAAUCGGGCUAGGAAUCCCGAAGUCCCUCGCCCAUCGUUUGUCUGACGGUGAAGAUAUCAUUGACCCUAGAUUCAGCCUUCUUUGCCCCUGCAUGAGCGGUGGCGAAUUUGUCCGCCAUCUCCUCGAACGUCGAUAUCGGUCGCACAGGUAGCUGGGAGUACCAUGUCAAUGCUCCCCCUGUCAAGGUUUCUCCGAACUUUUUUAGCA